GAAUCUUCCCUUUAUUAUUUGAUCCGACCCUCUCCUUCUAGAACCUAUAAACUCGAAUCGCUGAGUACAGUUUUUGUUCAUUAAAAACCUGCGAGACUGGUAAUAAAUAGUUAGAAGGGAAUGCGCAUCCUCGUAGCCGAUUGACUUCUCUUGAUCUUUUAUAAGUCAACUCUUUCUUAUCAUAUGGAAUCGCACGAGAUCUCACCUCCUACGCAGAGUCAAAAAAUAGGAUUUGUAAAUUGGGUUUCGGUCAAUUAUGAUUCUGGCAUUCCAGACUAAAUCAUCAAAAUCUCCGCGCUUUGCUGUCGAAACUAAGACAAAGACUGGUAUUUCAGCGCUCGGCGGACUUGGCGGAUUGGGAUGGACUUCUUAACCUCCAUUCGUCUUGAUCUCCACCUACGAGUGUGGGAACUGAAUAAGACCUAAUACUGACUACUACCGCGAUUGAGGAAGAGGAGAAUAUUCCUUCAGUUAUCAAAUUCAUUGAAUUCCAGGCAAUCUUCGAAGUGCGCGUAUAAAGAGCAAGGUAAGAAGUCCUCGAGGUUUCGUUCUCAUAUGAAUUCAGCCUAUCCAAGGCAAGUGGUCAUUGUCUGGUCACACCCGUGGAAAGGUUAUUGGCCUCUGUGAAUUGAUGCUCAGUCGAUCCGGGGCAUAAUAGGUUUCUGGUCGCCGACUAGCUCUCUGUAUCAGCACCUUGUGAUCUGAUCUUUUCUCAUUACGAGCCCUCUCCGCUCCGUGGGGUCCUACGAAGAGCUAAGCAAAUUCUCCCCAACGAAUCCUUCUAAGUCGCAAUAUUCUUUGCGCCUCUCAAAUUUCAUUCUCACGCAUAUUUCAUUGCGCCUCCAAAGUCAAAUUCUCUAAUGGAUAGGCCUUGGCAAUAUUCUUUGCGCCUUCUGGAAAUCUUCUUUGAACCGGAGGACCGUCCGAAGGACUGAUUUUGAUCCAUAUGAAUGAGGCGGAGGACGCCUAUUUUUUGGAAAGAAGAAAGCAUUAUGUUCCUUACAAUAUCCCUGUCUUAUGGAGCCUUGUCGAGCUUCGAUAAUUCUUUCUUUUAAAGGAAGAUGAACCGUCAAAGAAAGGUCCAGGCGCAAAGAAUUUGCGGGUCCAUAUUAACCUCUUUGCGCCUCCGGACUUCUUUAUCCAUUGAAUUUAACCUAACUACGGCUCCUCUUCAGUCGUUUUCUACCCCGCUAGAAAUCCUUUGUUUUUGGAGCACGUAGAAGGAGGCUGAAUUCAUAUGAGUUUAAAAGACCGCUCCAGGCGCAAAGCAUAUUGCGUGAGAUUCCACUAACUAAUAUUCCGACCGCUCCAACUAACCUCUGCGGUCAGUCCUUCGGACCAGCUUGCUAUGAAUCAUAUUGUCAAAUAAGCCUUUGUGGACUCCUCCUACGCUCAAUAUUCUUUGAGCCUCCAGGACGUCGUCUGGACCCUUAUUUCCAUAUGAAUUUGUGCAUCUUUGCUUAGCUUAAUGAGCUCAUUUUCUUUUCUUUACGUAAAGUCUUCGCCCCAAUGAAUAUGGGGAUCGUUGGAAUAAGACUCGUCCGGAGCCGUAGUUAGGGGCAAAGAAUAUUGCGAAAACGUAGGCGCAAAGAAUAUUGCGGAGAAGAAGAUUUCCAAGACUGGUCCGUCCUCCUUACUCAAGGAUUCCGCUAAAGUGCGAGGCGCAAAGCAUAUUGCGUGAGAAAUCCCGUCCUCAGUCCUAUCCAUAUUAAGCUGUCUGUCCUUCGGACCUGUGGUCUAAUCAAUUGAUUAAGAAUCGAUAAUUCAGGCUCAAGACGAUCUCCAUGGGCUCGCUUUCUUUGGAUGGACGGAGGAGAGGCGCGUAGCGCGUAAAAGAAAAGAGGUCUUUAUCUUUCUACGUUGAGGCGCAGCAGUUGACUGGACAUCUAGGGGUAAAGCACUCUUUCGGUGCGGGCCGCGAGAGCGGUACCAGCAAACUCUGAAUACUAGAUAUGAUCUCAAAAUAACAGGGGUCAAGGUCGGCCAGUGAGACGAUGGGGGAUAAGCUUCAUCGUCGAGAGGGAAAGAGCCCGGAUCACCAGCUAAGGAACCUACCCCUAAAUGACCGCUCAGUGAUAAAGAUAAAGGAGGUAGGGGUGCAGAGACAGCCAGGAGGUUUGCCUAGAAGGAGCCACCCUUGAAAGAGUGCGUAAUAGCUCACUGAUCGAGCGCUCUUGCGCCGAAGAUGAACGGGGCUAAGCGAUCUGCCGAAGCUGUGGGAUGUAAGCAUCGGUAGGGGAGCGUUCCGCCUUAGAGGGAAGCACCUGCGCGAGCAGUUGUGGACGAAGCGGAAGCGAGAAUGUCGGCUUGAGUAAGGCAAAGAUUGGUGAGAAUCCAAUGCCCCGAAAACCGCGUAGUGGGGGUUCCUCCGCAAGGUUCGUCCACGGAGGGUGAGUCAGGGCCUAAGAUCAGGCCGAAAGGCGUAGUCGAUGGACAAGAGGUUCAUAUUCCAGUACUACCCCUUGUUGGUCCCGAGGGACGGAGGAGGCUAGGUUAGCCGAAAGAUGGUUAUCGGUUCAAGGACGCAAGGUGCCCCUGUUUUUUUAGGCUAAGAAGGGGUAGAGAAAAUACCUCGAGCCAAUGUUCGAGUACCAGGCGCUACGGCGCUGAAGUAAGCCAUGCCAUACUCCCAGGAAAAGCUCGAAGGACUUCUUUAUCCAUUGAAUUAGGCGACUUGUCUUCAGACGAGUCAAUGAAAAGUGAAAAAAGGAAAACUCUCAUUGUGAUCGCCAUUCUCUUCUUUCCGUCGGAGGCGAAGGACCAAUCUUUUUUUACCGCUCCCUCCGCUCGUCUUGAGCCUUAAUUUGAUCCCCCUACGUGGGCGAGAAAUAUCCGGUGAAGGCGCAAAGAAAGAAGCUCAUUAACGAUAAUGAAAGCAGAAUGAACUCAUUAACGAGAAUGAAAGAAGCUCAAAAUGGGAAUGAAAGAAUCCGAUCAUUCUUUGAGCCUUGUUUUUACGGAGUGAAAUAAAGAAUAGACCCGUAUUUCUCCGGACCAGAAACUAGAAGUUUGAACAAACUAUGUGAAUUUCUUAUCCCUUUAUGAUUCUUUCAUUGCUAUUUCCCGGCUUUUUUGCUUCUAAAUAGGACUUUUUCGACUUUUCUUAUCUAACGAAAAUAGAUCAAAAAUGACAGAUUUUUCAUGAUUUCUUGCUACUUUAUAGGCCCAAAACCUAGCAAAAUCUUGUAUUUCCCUCCGUAAAAACAAGGUUAUUCAAUCCGAAUUAUUCUUUCAUUCUCGUUAAUGAGUGAAUUAUUCUUUUCUUUGAUUGACUUUGAACAGGCGCAAAGAAUUUGCGAAGAAGGACUAUCCAUUAGGGAACGUGAGAAAGAAUAUUGCGUGAGAGAGAGGGAGCUAUUUCCCAAGGCAAUUAAUAUCAAGGCAUAAAUCAAAGACAAAGAAGCUUCUCGACCUGGUACGAAGCGAGAGCUAUCAGAAUCUGAAGAAUGAAAAUGAAGCUCUCAAAAGAAAGAGGGACUUGCUCAACGGAGGGACGGACGCUCCACGCUCCACAGCGGGAGGACGCGCCUAAUUCAUCGGGUUAUGCUUAGGUUCGGUUCGGAAAGGAGCUCGCUCAGUCAUUCCAUUAGCAUCAGAAGGUGAAAAGAAUAUUGACAGGACCACCAGGCCUAUUCAAGUGCAAAAAGAAAGGUCCAGGCGCAAAGAAUAUUGCGAAUAGCUAUUACUUUAUUUGGAGGACGAGACGGAGUGAACGAAGUCGAUUACAUAGUGGCUCGCCCCACGGAGCGGUUACGAGCGUUCUAAUGGAUAGUCCGGAGGACCACGGAGCGGUCAUGAGCGAGAGGAUCCAGGCUCGACACCAGUAGUAGCAAUUGUUGAGGAGACAGGCUCGGCCGGUUAAAUGGAUAGGACCCACGGAGCGGUGCAAAGAAUAUAUAGAAGGCGCAAUUCAAUAUGCGAGGUCCAGAUGAGUAAGAAAGAUUUCCUUAACUCCUAACGUCUGCGACUCAAAGUAAUAGCUAUAAUGAGUCCUCCCUCCUUUAGGAGUCUUCUUCAUAGUCCUCCCUCUCAAAAUGGGGAUGAAUAGUCCGGAGGACCAUCUGGACCCGUCCGGAGGACUGAUUAAUGGAAGCAAAAGAGUCAUGAUCCCUUAUAAAGCAGUUUCAGACGUUAGGAGCAAAGAAUAUUGCGAAAGAGUCAUGAUCCCUUACAGACUUAGGAUCAAUGAAAUUUGAUGAGUCAUGAUCCACUAGGUGCAAAUCUUGUUAUAGAUUAUGCUGAUUAAUAUGGAUAGUCCUUCGCAAAUUCUUUGCGCGGAGGGCUCAAAGAAUCCAAAAAGAAAGGUCCAGGCGCAAAGAAUAUUGCGUUCGUAGCCAUUAUCGAAGAAAAAUCCGUAAAUAAUAAGGCUCGGCUCGUGUGCAGGACAAAGGCCCCAAGAGAGGCAGAAUCAAAACCCCACCAGGGAUCGGAUCUAUGGAAAGAAAGGUCUCAAUCGCGGGUCAGGAAAACUAAGACGCUUAGAGAGCCACGGGCUCUUUCCGUCUACGAAGGAAGCCACCGCCCUCCUCAGAAGUUGAUCUUGCGUCCGAGGUAGAGGUCCUUUUCCCUCUUUCUUUGGAAGUGGAGUAUGACUUCGGUAGUAGAUUGAAUAAACUGCUAGCUCCCUUCUUUCGAGGUGGGAAGCCGCUGUCAGUCUUGAGUCAGACUUCGUUAUUAGUUCGUGGAAUCUGAACUAAGAUCGGUGCGGGUAAGACCUCAGGCAGAGUUUCAGUUUCAAUCCAUCACUCCACUCGGACGAAAGGGAAAGAGUACAAACCCACCUAUCCAUUAUUAGGGGUCUUAGCAUCUCCACAUCAAGGGGCUAAGGCUUGAUUAUUUCAUGGAAUGUGUCUCAUAAUCGUAAGAUAAAAGAGAAGGUACCCUAGAAGUAAUAGCGCGACCAGAGUCAGAAGCUGCUAGCUAGGCGCCCUAGAUCUGAGAGGCGAAAGGGUCGAGUGAGUUCUAGAACGAGAGAGAAAGAGACCUGAGGCAUCCAUGCCCUGCUUUUUUUUGUUUACCCAAUAUCCCUUGAAUAGGAAAGGAAUGAGCCCUAGCUUUAUGCCAGAACCCACGGAGCGGUGAGGACCGACUUUCAUAAUUCUCGCAAUCGCCUAUCCAUUUUCUAUAGGAUAGACUGGAGCUCACCCGAGGGAAGAAGUACUGUAUCGGGGAAUGGGACCCCACGGGGCCUCCAGCUCGACCUUCCCCAGUGGGCGUAAUUAAGGAAAGGAGACCCCCUCCCUUAUAAUUGAACCGUUAAGCCCACUCCUCCUUCAGCAUAAUCUACGAAGCGCAUUUAUUAAAGAAGAAAGGCUCCUUUCAUAUUGAGAAUAUUGCUGGAAGAUUUGCACUGGGGGAUAUUGAUUUGUUGGAACUAAAAACCGAUGUCAUUGACUCUUAGGCGGAGGACCUAGAAUAUCCCUGUCUUAUGGAGCCUCCUCCUACGCGUCCAGAUCCCCAUAUGAAUUAGGCGAAGGACUGAUUAAUUCCACUAAUAUUUCUCCGGACCAUUAAGAAAGAAUGUCCUUCUGACUAUUCGUCCUAUUUCUUUAGAAGGACGAUCUAUCUCUUGAUUUUCUUUUGGGGAAGAUCUUCCUCUUCUUUCAGAUUCCCGCCGGCAUAUAUGAGGGAGGGAUGGGAAUUGGGCCUCAGCCUCAGAGCUCUUGUAUCAGACAGAGGGGGAAAAGACCUAGUGCACAUUACCGAGUCCGGGAUAGAGGCCGCCCGCCCAAAGAUCACUUCUUGGGAUAUCUGGUCUAGCCAUUGGUCUUACCGACUCCCGUUUCGCCUUUGCCUGGGCCUAGGUGAUCGCUCAUAAGCAUCUGCUUGGACAGCCCGAGUGGUCCCACUUUGAUCUUACCCAUGAAACCUACUCAGACGGGACUCAAAAAUCAGCCCUUGCUUUCUCUUUGUUUAUUGAUUUCAUUCUAGGGAAGGAAUCCAGGCCUCGUUUUCAUCCAUUUCUGACUUGUUCAUAGAAUAGAAUAAUUGCUUAAAAAGAAACUUCCACAGGUCCGAAAAUCAAUGAACUCUGCGGGUAGAUUUCAGACUACGACUGAGGUCUAAAUAUAGAAAGUCUUUUUUUGAAUCAGACUCGUCCUUCCGCGGUUCUGAACAUGAAUAUGGGGAUCGUUGGGGAAUCAAUUGAUAAGGAAUCUUCUCAUAUUCAUUCAGCCUCAAGACUCAACAAUAUCCCCCAACUACGUUGCCUCAGUCGCAGCUUCAAGUUCCAGGCAAUAUUCUUUGCUCCUAACCUUUGCGGUCAGUCCUUCGGACCAGCUGACUAUCCAACCUAAAUAGGAAGGAGUCUUAGAGCGGACGUCGCAAUAUUCUUUCUCAUAUUUCGGCAAUAUUCUUUCUCUGGGUUAAUAUGGAUAGGACUGAGGACGGGGGAUGUGAGUUGCUCAAAGAAUCCCACACCUCUCACGGUAGACGAAGAGAUAAUGACUAUUUAUACCGGAACUAAUGGUUAUCUUGAUUCAUUCGAAAUUGGACAAGUAAUGAAAUAUUCUUUUUUUCCUUGAGUUAGGCGAAUAAACCGCCUCAAUGAACAAAGGGUGGGGUUCCUCUUCCUCUUUUUGUAGUUAUUCCGAUCCGCCAUAAAAAGAGAUAGGGCUUUCUUCUUCCUAUGAAACUCAUGAAAGAGCUUUUUUCCUAUACCUCUGACUCAAGAUGGAUUCCUCUUACCCCUCCGAUCCCGAGAAAGAAAGCGGAAAUCUUCUUUUCACCUCUGCCGCUGGUCGAGUCCUUUGCCCCUGGAUAGCUGCUUUUCCUACUUAUUCGUCAUCCUUAGUUUGCAUGAUAAAGGGUUUAUUCAAUUCACGUCAAAUCCUUUUCCUGGGAAAGAUGUCAAAAAGUCAGGUUUCGCCUAUGGAUAGGGGCAUUCUUUCUAGUUAGAUCAAUGGAAUGGCUAGUCAAGACCAGGAAAAACCUGUGCUGCCCACACCAGGGAGGGGGCAGAGGCCAAGACUCAUAAUAUCCGAGAGGGCGACCACUUUACCUGCUUUCCUCUUGAGCGCCCUACUUAUGAUAAUGGGUUCAUUCACUCAAUUCCAUCUCGCCUGCCUUUGAAUUUCAGGUAAUUUGAUUGAAAGCCUUGCCCGAGAAUGCUUGGGAGCACCUUGGUUUAAACCAUAGGCGAGCCCUAUAAUAAAGAAUUUGGUUGACUACCCCCUUCCGCUGGAUUGAAAAAUCAUCCUUUGGUCCAGCAGUCAAAGAACUGACUUUUUUUGAGUGCUUGCUCGACCUACUCCUAAAAGCAUACAUCAGUCCGAAAUUCCCCUAUUGGAAGCAGAGUGAACUAGAGGAGCUCCUAUCUUUUAUGGCAGAUAGGCGGAUAGAAGGAUUUUCCUACAAAAAGAACUCGCUAAUGAAAGAAUUGAAUAUGGAUUGACGCCUGGUAAGGAUAGGUUUGAAUCAGCGGAACUAGGCUCAAAGUAACAAGUCAGAGCUAUCCCUUAUUAUUGAGGGCUUUGACCCGCGCAAAGAAUUUGCGAAAGCUGCGACCCACUACGCUCCCUGAUGGAUAGUCCGGAGGACCACUACGCGGGAAGAAAGAAUAUCCUUAGCUGCCGUGAGACAGGGAUAUUGUGAAAAAACAAGGCUCCGAAGUGAUCAAAAAAGUUCAGACUCCUUUUGAUAGGCUUUCUUUUCAGUCCUCAGGUUAAUAUAGUGGAAUUCUUUGAACGUCCAGAUCCCCAUAUUCAGUAGGCGAAGGACUUUGACUUAGUGGAUAAGAGAGGUCCUUCGGACUGGUAAAAUGCUAUUUUUCAUCUAUCAAUAUCCGAAGUAUUAGGCGCAAAGAAUAUUGCGAGAAGGAGAGGGAUGAAAUAGCGAGACCGUAGGGAGAGGGAUGACUCUCAUCUCAAAUUUCUAAUACCUCAUAUCAUGGAAAUAUGGAGGUCAUUGAAUAAUGGCAUCCAAAAAUGCAGAUUUGAAGCAAAGAAAAAAGACCGCUUCGGGGAUCGCAUAUGAAGAUCCUGAUCUCACCAUCUCGGGAGAUCGACUCUGUCCCCUCUUGGUCUAGCUCGUCGUCAACUCGGCUUAGCGUGAUAGGCAUUCUCUUCAAUACUCGUUUACUCUUAUGUAUGAAAGAGAAUUCUUCUAGGCCGACCAAGCGGGUCCUAUCUUUGAGUGAAGAAAAAGCUAAUAGGUCAUGCGCGGGCGCGCCCGCCGAAUCAGUCUUGACGCUUGGAAUCCUUAUACUUCUUCUCCUUCGAGAUAGAGAAGAUCAUGAACUCUUAUAUAUAUAUGAGUGAAUAUACUAUCUGCCGCUUUUAAGAAAAGAAAGAAGAACUUCUGCUACGGAAACGGCGGCUCGAGCGGACUCAGUCUGGCGACCCGACUAAAGAGAGUUUUGAAGCACAAGUUCACCUUAUCAAUGAGUUAAAGAAUAUAGACAAAGAAAGGAGGCAAGGAAUGAAGCAAUCAAUGAUUGAGAACAACUCCUUCGGAGCGCUCCUACUCCGUCUUAUGUAGUGUAGUGCCGUAGGUCUUUUCAUGCGAAAAUGAACUAUUUGACCUCUCCUUUUGACUCCUCCUCCGGACGUAGAAGGCGCAUAUUGCGAGAAGGUUGAGGUCAUUUUUUCUAAGAAAGAAGAGGGACAUAAGAAGAAAAGUCAAUGAACAAAUCAGCCACGCGAUUAGCCUGACGAUCGAGCCGAUCCACGGAUGAGGUCUCUUUCUUCAAGAAGAUCGGAAACUGGAGCCUCAGAUGCCACAGCCACUAUCUUCAGAGCGGGUUUAUUAAGAGUGAACAAUGAAAGAGAAGUGUAGACCCCAGCAAUGGUUGAACUAUGGGGGCACCCUCAUUCCAGCUUCAAAAGUACUAAUUAGUGGAAGGCAUCUUUGCGCCUCCGGACUAUCCAUAUUAAGAAAGAGUGAGAAAGAAUAAUCCCACGAGCGACUCUAGCUUGGACAUAAGCUCUGGCGGAGAAGAGAGAGAUUUGUCUUAUCUUUCGUCCCUAGCGCCUUAUUGACAGGGUCGAUUCCUCUCCGCAAUAUUCUUUGCGCCUCCGUCUAGAAUUUCAUUCCUCUUUAGUUUUAGUUUAGUCUCGCAACUGCAUUCCUUAGUAAGGAGUUUGGAAUGCUUCCACUUCUUCUCCUUCAAGAACCCGAACGGAUAAUGUGUCUGAGCGGAACGAUUUACGUCAAUCAAAGUACAAAUCAGCCACGCGAUUAGCCUGACGAUCGAGUCCCUGAACUAGCAAAAGUUCCAUAAAUCAGUCAAGAGGAUCAAUGAAAUUUGAUGAUGAUGACAGGCGCAAAGAAUUUGCGAAGAAGGACUAUCCAUCAGGGAGGUGCAAAGAAUAUUGCGCUAAAGGUCUAUCAAAUGCAUUCCUCUCCGAGCUUCCUCUUCCCCUAUUUCCUAUUAUAUAAGGCGAGCCUAUUUCCUCUCUUUUCCCUUUGAGCAAUAUUCUUUGCGCCUCUUCCUUUCUUUCUCGACUGGGACACUGCAAUUUCUUCUUUUCAACGACUUAUAUCUUUUUCUAUAAAAGAAGCUUGAUUUGCCCUUCUAUAAAGAAGGUAUAGCUCAACCCACGUAGCGGUAAGGUAGGUCUGCUGAUCUGUCUUCCGACUGAGAUAUGACCAUAUCCCGGUUUCGGUCGGGUCAAUCCAGUCGCCUAUCUGCUUCGCUUACUAGAUGGAGUCUUUCUUUUAGAGUACUGAGAAUACGAACUGCAAGCUGCUCGGACUAACCCAGCCGAUCAAAGAGUGGCUUUCCACGAACCAUGUUUUGAAGUGCAAACUCUUUUCCCAUGGAAGAUCUGAAUUGGUGGACCUCUGUACGAUUAGGGCGAAGUCCACCCGUGCAAGAAUCCCUUUGUUUUGGGUUCCCCAUGUGCUUUUUAUUAGUGCGAAUGCACAAAUCCCCACGGUUUUUUAUGACUUACUCAACUCUGAAUCACUCUACGGAGCUGUUUUGACAUAGGGAAAGUAUAAGAAGUUCAGUAAAGAACAAAGAAGAAUGAGAAGAGAAGAAGACUUUUUCAAAGUAUGAAAGGAUCAGAUCUAAAGUAGAGAGAACCAAUAUUACUUGAGCAGGUGCGAAGCCUUAGAGGGAAAGAGAAGAUCAGAAAUCAAAGCACUAUUUUAAGCUUAUGAACUGAGUCUUACUUGAGCAGUUCUUGUUCAACUUAUUGAAUUUCAUAGAAUUGACUUAAUUAUGACUUAGAUUUCAUAGAUUCUUAUUAAAUAAUCUUUCGCACUUUCUUGAUGAUGAGGCGAUCAGAAUGAUCGGAGUGCAAGUGCAUUAGAAAUCCCAUUGUGCACAUUUACCCUCUAUUCUAAAACCUCUUUUACGGGAUUCGGACAAGUCUAGUCUGGAAUACGAACUGAUCCUUCUCCUUCUCAAAUUCUUUGAUCCUUUACUCAUUAGUGAUUUUGAAUACGGAAUAAUCCACCCUAAAAAGUAGGAGGAUACCGAUUCUGGCUUCGCCCCUCUUUCCUCCUAUUCGGGCGGUCCUAUUCACACCCGAUCCCGUCUCCCUCUCACUCUCCGCCCCGUGGGUUUCAUCGACCGUACUCUGACUCUUACUCAAGACUAACCUCCUUGACUCAAGACUAACCCUCUCCUUUCCAGUCGAGUUCUUUCGCACCGCUACGUGGGCUUUCCAGUCCUCUACCCGAACCUGUCCCACUACACAAUAUCCCCUCAUACCUUCUCUCUCAAUUUCUUCUUCAAUCGAUGAAUAUCCGCAAAAGAAAAGGUACUCAGAAAAAGGAAUGAAUAAGAGAAAAGCUAGCCUGAUGGGCCGCUUAGUCGGUCCUUCGAACCAGCCCUUGAAAGAGCACUCCCCUAUUAUAUUAAGUCAAGCUUUUUCUCCCUUCUUCUUUCUUCUUUCACAUGGUUUCCGAAUCAGAAUGAAUGAGCGGCUAAUAUCCCUACGACCAAGAGCAAGCAAACUCAUAAAGUAGGGGAGGAAGGUAAUCAUGGGGCAGGAGGUUUCUUAUUAAAUAGAAUAAGAGCUUUCCGUCUUUCUCUUCAAUACCGUCAAAAAAAGACCGUCGAAGUAUGCGCUUCCUCUCUUCUCGCCCUAUGCGCCUUCUUCUUCUGUUCCCACUCUGCGGUACGGAAUCUUCCUUUGGCGCAGUGCUAUGGAGCAUUUCCCUUUCCCACCGGUCAUACACCGAAACCAUUGUAACCAUUGUCUUAAGCAUAGCCUGUCCUUAUCGUCCAUUCAAACUUGAAAGAAUUGCAUUCAUGAUCGAAUUACUAUACAGAUUACAAGGAAUCAAAGUCCUCCCCAUCCAUCAUUCAUAGCACAAGUCCGACUAUCCUACUAGGGGGCACAAACUCCCCACCAUAAGAAGAGGCUUAGGCGCCCCCAUAGCGUGGAUCGGUAUCGGUCGACCCUACAUUCCUAUGAAAGAGCUGAUUUUGCUCUUUGGGGGGAGAAGAGGAAGCCGCUUAUCGAGCCACAGUUUAGGCUCUUUCCGUCUCAGUUCUUUAGGCAGGAAUGCGAGACCGGUCAUUUGUUGAGGAUGCACCACCAUCCUACUCGGUUGAAGCUUUUCUUCUUGAGGAAGAGGUCCUGGCUGAAAAGGAAUCAAUCGCCCCAGUGGCUGGCAGGAUCUCUUUGUCUGACUUUCUUUUCUGUUUAUGUACAAGUCGUUCUUUCAUAAAGAGAAGUUGUAGGGCAUAUCUCUCUUUCCUCACGCGAAAGGAUUCUUUCUGUACUUUUACAUGUCAAUGUAUUGACUUUGACAAGGAAGAAGAAGAGAAAGUUCAGUCAGCCCACGUAGCGGUAAAGGAGAGGCAUAAUAUAAGGAUAGGAGGCAAGGCUCUUUGAAUUUGAGAAGAAGCGAAGCUAGGCUUCAUAGGAGAAAGUUCAGUCAGGCGCAAAGAAUAUUGCGUGAUUGAUGCAAUUCAAUUCCUCUCAUCAAAAACCUAGAAAAGUAAUAGGAUGAAUAGUCAGAAGGUGCAAAGAAUAUUGCGGAGUUUGGUCCUCCGCCUUACAAUAUCCCUGUCUCAAAUUAAGGAUCUGGACCUUGAUUUUUCAUGGAUCUUUUUUGAUGCAUCUGGACACUACACAAUAUCCCCUCGCAAAUUCUUUGCUCCUCCUCUCAGUCGAGCUCCUUCUCGCAAUAUUCUUUGCGCCUCCCUGUCUCCUCCUAAUGGAUAGUCCUACUUCGGUUAAUUACGGAUGGUCCUACGGAUAAAUCACCUGGACCUUUCUUUGGCCCUGCGGACUCCGGACGUAGGACCUGUCUUUAUCAGGAGCGUAGCGAACAGCCGUCAACUACUUUCUAUUUAUCCUAUCCUUUCUUUCGGAGUAGCUCCAGCGUAGCGUAGCGGUGAAAGCUCAAAUUGCAUUGAGCCUGUUCAAAGUCAAUCAAAGAAAAUCCGUUCAUUAACGAUAAUGAAAGAAGAAAAAAAGCAAAUUCAUCUGCUAGAUUUCAGACAUCUUUGCUUAAUGAAGACGGAGUGAAUUCCAUGAUUUUGCUAGGUUUUGCCCAUAGGAAGUAGCAAGAAAAGACAAAAAAUCAGUCAAAAAAGUACUUUUAUCGUUAAAUAUCAAUAUGAGAAAAAGUAUGAAAAAGAAGCAAAAAAGCCGGGAAAUAGCAACUGGUCCAUUAUCAAAAUCUAGGUCAAAGAAAUUCUCAGUUCUAGUUUGAGUUUCUGGUCCGGAUACUGACGGGUCUAUUCUGGAUUCCGCUCCUCCGUUCUAAUGGCGCAAAGAAUAUUGCGGUCAUGAUUCCCAAGGCUAAUAUGGAUAGUCCUUGCACUCCGUCCUCUUGACUCGUUUUCUCUUCUUAGAUAAAUGCGCUUCGCUUCGCGCAUCUGGACCCCUUAUAUCCGGAGGAGGAGUUUUCUACCUUUGAAAAGGAGUCUUAUUCCACUAAAAAAUUAGUUAGGAGCAAAGAUGACAGGCGCAAAGAAUAUUGCGAGACCGGAGGACUAUCCAUUAGAAAUCUGGAAACUUCGGUUCAAUUAUUUUGGAGGGGUCUCAUUGAUAAGGACAUAUUAAUCUGUGGAUGCUACUUGAUUAAUGGGGUGAUGAGCAAUUAUUAAGGAGAAGGACGUUCAAAGAAUAUUGAAUCUACCUUUCUGACUGAACUUUUUUGAUUGCUUUCUUCCUUUUAUUAGUAGGCCAAAAGUAUAGGGCACGAGCUCAAUCUGGUCUAACCGCACCCGCAAGACCCUUGUUUGGGGUAGAAGAAAUGUGAACAAAGAAUGAGCACUGCUCUUCCGAUUUCAGAUGAUAAUGUCACAGACUUAACGGAGAAUUACCGCUCCGUGGGUGAUUCAAGAGCUGAAAGAGCAGCCUCAGCAUCUGCCGAAAGAUCUCUUUCUUCCUCUAAGAACCGCUACGAUCUUCCUUAUUGAAAGGUAGAUUCAAUAUUCUUCUCCGUCCGGAGGACCUAACGGUCAAUGAAAUAUGAGAAGAAGAUUUCUCAAGAAUAUUGAGGCUGAAUGAAUUGAGAUUCUUUAUAUAUUGAUUCUUUCGUAGGUUCUAAAGGAAGAAAGAGAAAGCCUAGGUCCGCUACGCUUUCUGAAUAGAAGGCCUUACCAAUCCAACUCGCUCAAAGAAAGCCAAACCCGUUACAGUAUAGAUAGAAAGAAGCUCUUUGUUUCCAGGCGCCAUUGAAUCAGACUAGGGACAAACUCCCCCGAUCUCGGGAACCUCAAUCACUGCACUGGUCGGAAGCAAGCCGGGCCACUCUUUCCUUUCAGUAUUUCAGUAUCCCUUUUUUCUCUUGCGAUUUCCCAACCAAGGAAAAUAGAUAGAUAAGGCCUCAGCCCAAGCCGAUCUACUGUCCUCUUAAGGAAUUCAGUUGUUGAAUCUGUGAAUUCACUCUCAAUUAGUUGCUCGCCCCAGACCCCCAUUUCCGGCUGAGAUGUCCAGAUCAGGCUAUUUUCGCUUUCGUCAGGCUUGGGAUUGAAGAGAAUUCAGUAAAUACUAGUUCCACAUCCCUAACUUGUUGAAAGAGGGACAAACUAACUAGACAAAGAGGGACACAGUUGUGAGACCUACUACAGUCCAAGAUUCAAUCAAAGGCGCUCAACAGCGGUUACGAGGCCUGGUGGCUAAGAAGAUUAAUUGAGUCGACCUGGUUUAGUUUAGUGAGCACUCUGCCUUUCCGAGAAGAGGUGCGGAUUGAGAAGUUUCCGUUCUUGAAGCUCUAGUGGAAAGAGAGCUUUUCUUCUUUAUAAGAAAAUAUUCUUAUCCAUCGUUAAUUCACUUUUCUCAGAAAGAAAAUGGAUUCAGUCUACGGUUUUCUAAUCAAUCCUAUAUUAGUUAUGGGACAACCACACCAACAAAUAGCUCAUACGGUCCCCCUGCUUCUGACUUGAAAGGACCCGGGAGAGCUCCUCUUGAUCGAUCCGACGAGAUGAUAACUGCACUUAUUCAAUGGAAGAACUUCUCGCUUCCUUUUUUUUUGAGUGCGCUCGGCGGGGGCCACAAAGUGUUGACAACUAUUUCUCAUUUCUCUUCUCUUUCUGGAGUAUCUCACUUUUGUCUCAUUUUGCGGAUCGCCAUUGAGGAAGGAAGGAUCGGAAGAGGUCGUCCCAGUUUCCUCAGUUGCUUAGGCACACCGUGGGGAGGUGGACCAAAGAAAUGAUAGUUGCGCAACCUUUAUUAAUAAAGUAGCAGCGGAUGCGAGAAUUUGAGAAGGCAUUAGAGCUCAAUUUCAUCGACCCUCUUCCGAGACAGAAACUCUUAUUGCACUGAACUUGUCUUCUUUCAUUGGCACGCGAACGGUGGUAUACCGCCUCAAUGAACAAGGGCCCGAUUCCGCCUCGAGAUCUUCCCUUGAGAAAAGAGAUCCUGAUCUAGGUUCUAGCGCUAGUCCCGUAAAAAGAGUUCAUUGCCUUGUUCUUUCUUGUCAAGCAUUUCAUACCCGUCCUUUGGACCAAGUCCUCCUACUACGUCUUAUUCCUUUAAGAAGGUUCCCAGUCGCUUCGCAUGCCAUGCUAAUAUUGAGAAAAGCCUUGUAAACUUCAUAUGGAUAAGUCCAAAAACAAAGGUCCAGAUGAGACGUAGAAGAAAAAUCAAGCUCCAGAUGACAUCACGCAAUAUUCUCAAUCUUCUGAUCGCCAUUCUCUUCUUUCUUUCUUCUUUGCACCUCUGAAUUUCAUGCUCCUCAAAUUCUGAUCGCCAUUCUCUUCUUUCUUCUUUGCGCCGGAGUUAGGCGAAUAUUGCUACUAUUCUUUAUAUAUUGAUUAGACCGCGUAGAAGGUGAAAAGAAUAUUUCAUUGCGCUCCUCUUAAAUAAAAGCCUUUCUAAUCAUCAACACCGAAUAUAGGGGAAGGACUUGUCCUCAAUCAUUGAUUGCUUCAUUCCAUAAUUCUGAUCUUCUUUGAAAUCUCGCCCACAUUUGUAAAUCAUCAAAACCUUUUCUGUCUUCUUGUCUGCAGAUUCAGGGGAGAGCCCUAAAGACGGAUGAGUUCUUAUGAUGGAGAUUGAGGCUUCUUAUAAAACAUCAUUUGACCUUGAUUCUCGUUCAAGGAUUCCCAUUCGAGCAUAAUUGGUCGUAUGAAGAUGGAAGAUUAACUUCUUCCUCUCCUUUAGCUUCGCUUUAGCUCUUUUCUCUUUAAUACCUCUUCUCAUUGCUUAGCUUCUGAAACUGACUCAGACUCAACCGCUACGUGGGCUUCAACGGCUCCUAUCCGAUCCCUCUUCACCCUACCAGAAACUACCUUCUCGUUCAUGAAGUUACCUUCGUCCCACUCUUAAUCUUGAGUUCUAGCUGACUCUGGAAGUCGAGCUGCUUCAUACCUAUCCUUUAGAGCUUCUUCGACCCUCUGAUUCAAGAUAGCCAUCUCUGAUGAUGGGUGUGUGUGGGCCUAGCCUCUGGCGGAUGCCUCUACUGACUCUGAGUUCUAGCUGACUCUUCGCGAGGCUAGUCCUCACCGCGUAGUGGGUUCUCGUUCUACAACUCUUAAGAGCUCCUUCUAGCCUAUCCCUAGGAGUGGGGAACGGACUGAAGAUCUUGUUCGCGGGAUCCUGAGAAUUCCUUUCUCUUUUUUAUACUCCAUUUAGGCUAGUCACUUCUCGUUCUCGAUCCGAUGAGUGGGAGUUUUGUCCCAGAACUAUGAAUUUACGGAUUUCUGAAUCAGUGAGCUCAUCUCUCUCCCGCUACGGUAAAAUAAAGCGGAAAUCUUCUCUGGGUUAAUAUGGGCAAUAUUCUUUGCGCAUCUGGACCCCUUAUAAUUGGGCCAUAGAUCUUUGCGCCUUGUUCUUACUUGUUCAUCCUAAUGUUCAUAAUAAUGGCUUUGCCACAACUCAAGAAAAAAAGGGGUACGAUCCAAGGAUUUCAGUGUGACUACUACCACUUUCCUUUUCUUAUCAUUUUUUGUCUUAAUCAAGACCUGUCCAAAACUUUCAAACUUGGCUAUUUCCUGCACUUGCACUCCGAUCAUUCUGAUCGCCUCAUCAUCAAGAAAGUGCGAAAGAUUAUUUAAGUUGAUAUUCGAAAAUGGCCCACGUAGCGGUAAUCUUGGCUCUUCCAUCGACUCUGCGAAAGUGCUCAAUAGUUCUUGAUCUUAACUUCUCUUCUAAUAAGUGGUGCAAGAAAUUCAUAUAUAAAGACUUCUAAGUCCUAAUUAAUGUCUUAUUCCCGCUCCCUCCUUUGUUGAGCAUAUUUAUUCCUCUUACCGAAGGACUACAAUAUCCCUGUCUUAUGGAACCUUAAAUCACUUUGCGACUGAGGACGGCUCCGCUUUCAUAUGAAUAUGGAUUUCUGAGUGAAUCAAUAUAUAAAGAAUAGUCUAUAUAUUCUUUGCUCCUUACUAAUGGUAAAGGGUAGAUUCAAUAUUCUUUUCACCUCCUACGCUAUAUACUCUGAAGGACCUUUGCAAUAUUCUUUGCGCCUUGUUUAUCCACUAAUAUUCUUGUCUUAGGAAAUAGGUUCUUUGUUCUUAGGGUUAAGAUUCUUUCCUUGGUAUUUUGAUCUGCCCUUGCAGCAGUAACUAGACACCAUUCCCACUCGAGUAAAGGCAAUCAAAAAUCGCAAUAUUCUUGAGAUAAUUCUUUGAUCCUCCGUCCUUAGUCGUUCUUUAUAUCCAUAUUAGCUUAGCUUUCUUUCUUUGCGCUGCGCCUCAGUCGCAAUGACGAAAGGGAUCCAGAUGAGGAGCAAAGAUCAUUGAUAAGGAAGAUUAGAAGGAAGCGGAGAGCCAUCAGAUCUUUCUUCUUCGGUCAGGUGCUUUUCCCGGAGGCCGGCGAUUAGGAGGUUAGUGCCGGUUGUACUUUGUGCAGGACCUGGAUCGGGUACGUGAGUAUGCUUGGGGAGCUGCUUUGCUAGCAUACACGUACCGUGCUUUGUACACUCGAACUCAUGUGGAUAGUAGCUCCACGUUCAGGACUUAUAUGCUUCGUCCCUUUGAUUCAGGUAAUCACGGUCAAAGAAUUCUGCCCCUAGCCCUUGUAUUUUCGAUUCUUCUUGACGGGUCUUGCAAUGGUGGCUCUGGGAGCAUAUCGAUGUUGGGCGUCCUCGUCGAGCAGAGGUUGAUCUGACUUUCUUUCCUCGGAGCCGUACUUGGAGUGUACGGGAGUCUCAGGGCGACAUGCUUCGUCGUCUUCAUUACUUCCGUAAUCAGUUCGAGAUCCUCCGGUCUGUAUAGUAAUCAUAUCAUCGACCGCCUUGAUUUUCUCUUAAGACUCCUUUCUAUUUAGGGCAAUAAGAAGCCGGAAAAUCAAGAAUGUCAUCUUGACUCAAAUUUCAUUGAGCCAGAAAUUCAAUGGUUAAUAUGGAUAGUCCGGAGGCUCAAAGAAUUUGAGGAGCAUGAAAUCAAUGAACAAGGGGCGCAAAGAAUAUUGCGAGACAGGUCCGAAGGACUAUCCAUCAGGUCCAUAUUAACCUGAUUCCACUGAAACUUAUGGGCCUUCUACGCCAUAACAUGAAAGUUCCAUUAUCAGACUCCGCUCUGCUUCAUUUGCGGGUGAGGAUUAGGGUGAUUUUUCAGUUCAUAACAUGUAAAGCAAGGUGAAAAGAAUAUUGACCAACUGCUUCCCCCCUUCGUCGCUUCCGGCUAAGCAUCUUGAGGCGGAGGCGACUAGUCGCUUCUGGCGAAGCUGCGAGUGAAUUAGCAAGUGAAUGAACGAGCCAUGUUCCUAAAAGGACCUCUUUCUUUUAUUCCCUUCCCCUAUCCUUUCCCAUAGGUUGGGCGCUCCCGCUUUACUAAUAGUUUCGAAAUGCUCUUCUUAUUUCUUGAGAGGUGCGAAGCAGCUCGCCUACCCUGAUCGAGCCUACUUAAAUAGCUUACGCUUACCAAGUCUAGUCUACAAAAAGAGGGCUAGAGCAAGCAAGCUUUCCCCCUUUGUUUGUUGUGGGUCGCGCCUCACCGCAGGCACUGAAUGAAUGAAAUGAGUGGAGAUCUUCCUUCCCCCUUCUGAAUUACCAAGAAGUUGCCACUAGUUUAGAAGAAAAUUUCGACCAUCCCACCCAGAGCCUAAACUAAAGAGAAGAGAGUUCAGUCUACAAGAAGCUGGCAGAGCUUUAGCCAUUGGACUACAUCCAGAUACCUAAAUCGUCACCCUUUUUUUGCUUUUCGUUCUUUAGUGGAGACAAAUUCCUUUCGGCGAAGAUACUACUUCAGUCUUCCCUCUCCUCUGAAGUCGACCCUAAGAAUUGAAGGAAGCAAGUGAACCUAUACGAGAGUGAGGAAGAUUCACCAACAACUUCCCACUCCCACGAUUCUUCCCGUUUAGAAGUCCAAAAACAAAGGCGAGAAGACAGGCGCAAAGAAUUUGCGAAAGAAGGCGUCACAGGUCCGAAGGACUAUCCAUUAGGGAAUAUUGCGUGAGGCUCGACUGAAAGGAGAGGCGUUGAGGUGCGGUAUCUAAUCUUUCAGCCUUGCACUCCGUCCUCUUGACUCGUUUUCUCUUCUUAGAUAAAUGCGCUUCGCUUCGCGCCUCCGGUUCAAUGCCCACUCCGCGGUCGAGUCUGAACUUUUUUGAGUUCAUUGAUUAUCUUCCGCUCCGUUUUCUUGAAUCUCAAUGAAAACCCGCGUAGUGCUUUCUUUCCUUAUUCAUUGAUCUAUUUUGAUGCCAAGUUUCACUCGCCUAGUAAACAAAAAAAGCUUUGUAGAGAGACGAGAGAGGUGCAAAGAAUAUUGCGGAGAGAGAUCAUGCCCUUUCUUAUCGUACUGCUGGGACAACCUCUGCCUCAAGUUAGACGGAGAUCGAUCCCUCUCAGAUAAAAAGACCGAAAGAACUAAAGAGAAGAGAGUAGGCCUUGCUCCUCUUUUGAUUGAUGUUACACCCUAAAAGACAUAAAAUAGGAUAAGUUCCAGUUCUCGCAAUAUUCUUUGCGCCUCACAACUAAUGGAUAAAGAAGUCCUUCGGACGGAGGCGCAAUUCAAUAUGCGACUUUGCACCUUGUUCAUUGAGGACCUUUCUUUUUGAAGAAGUUUGAGUCUCAUCUGGAGCUUGAUUUUUCGGAGGGGAUCCAGCUGAAGAAAGAUCUGAGGCUUACGAAAUAAAUGAGAAGACUUUGAAACCGGUAUACCCUGCGACACCCUACUCAAGAGGGUCAAUGAAAGAGGGUGCGGCUUCUUCAACUUCGAAUGCUACGGAUCCAGCUGAAGAAAGAGAUCAUCUAACCUCUCCCGCUCCGCGAAAGAAAGAAGAGGAUAUGAAGAACUUGCACUCCUUUCCAGUCGCUUCCGCCCUAGGCUUGAUCUUGAUGACUUGAUAGUGGAUAGGCAAUUCUUCCAAAUAGUAGGUUCUUCUUCGUCUUCUGACUUGGGAUUUUUUAGGCUUUCUCACGCAACAAUAUCCCUGUUUUCUCGCCUUCGGACCUGUCCUCCGUCCUUAGUCGUUCUUUAUAUCCAUAUUAGCUUAGCUUUCUGCGCCUUCGCUCAAUGUAAUAGCUAUGAGAGGGGUGUGCGCUCCUGAUUCAUGCAUAAGAGUAGAGGCAUCAUCGGGAAUAGAGUUUGGGGUAGAAGAAGAGCAAUGAGGCACUACGCGGUUUGAGCUAUAGGCGGCAUUCAAACUCUCUUUUCUCGGGGAUUGAGGAAAGGGGGACUAGCACUAUCACUAAGAAGAAUAUGAAGUUGGGUUCGGGAGCGGGUUCAGAGUAUUGAGCAGCGGUCCCUCUUAGCCCGAGAAGGGCGAAUCUCACUAAAUAAGGCCAGAAUCAAGGGAAGAGAAAGACUAAGAUGGAUCGAUCGGCCGAUAAAGAUAAAGAGGAAGACUAGUGAAAGAGGAAAUUGUCUGUAUCGUAAGGCAUUGUAUUCAUAGAAUAAGAGUUCGUCCCUUCGUAUUCAAAUAAGAAAGGGCACAUCUCCCACUCCGCGGUAGCAUCCAUUGGACUAGCCCUUUGCUAUCACUUUCUAAGGUGAGGACCUGCUGAGUCCAGCAAGAACGUCAAAGUAUGCUUGGAAGUCGGAAGAAAGGCUAUCAAAAGGGGCAAGCUAGCCGUUGCACACUGGGAGAAAAUAUGACCUGACCCUACCUCCUUCUAAAAGCUCUCACUCAAGGACUAGGAUUGAAGAAGAAGAUCGGCGAGCGCGAAGCCUGACAGCCUUGGAAGAGGAGAAUACGAUUUUGAUUCAAAUCCCAGUAAUUCGAGUUGUUCCAGUAUGGUCGAGCCACUUCUGCCUCUAAUGAAAGAGCUUUGUUGAUCCAAAGAUAUGGCACUCGCGGCCGCUACGGUCGGGUCCGGAUAUCAUCAUGGUUGUUGAAGUUGCUGAGGAAGAAAUGAUAUCCAGAGUUUACGAAAUCUGCUGACCCGACUAAUGAAUGAAACUCUGUCCUGCCUCUGACCAUACUUUUUUCUUGGAAGAUUGGAAAAUCGGACUUGAUCAUGUGAAAAUGAACUCCGGGGAAAGCAUGCAAUUCUUUUACCUUUUUCUUCUUUAGUUUACGAAAGAGAGGCAUUUCUGCCUCACUCCCACUCCGCGGUAGCAAGAGAUAGCAGAAGUAUUCUUAUAUAAAAGCUUAGAUUAUCUUAUCAAAAAUGAAGGAGAAAAUCAAUAAUAGAAGAAUGAAUAUCAUCCCAUUUUAUGGAGAAAUGCUGAACGAAAAAUUCUCUGUGGCCGUAGCUAUCUCACUUAUCUCGUCCGUGAGACCGGCAGUGAGGCAGUCUAAUAGAAGGAUCGGUCAUCUUCGCUAUAGGAAGGAUGCAAACUCAUCAAUCGGCGCCAGGUAAGAUGUUUGGCAGCUCGACUCUGUAGUCUAGGCUUAUUUCUCCAUUUCGUGGGAUAGUCGGCCCACGUAGCGGUAGCAGUAUAAGAUUCAUUCUCCCUUGCAUAAGAGGAAGCGUCAGCGCUUUCAUGAAUAAGUCAGAAGAAUGGGAAGACUUUCAUAAGACAAUCAAUGAACAAGGCUCAAAGAGGUUAAUAUGUCCUUAUCAAUGAGACGGAGGUUCAAUUUCAUAUUCAUGAAUUCAGGCCUAUCCAUUAGAGAAUUUGACUUGCGAUUUUUCUUUUUUUCGAGGCGGAGGUGCAAAGAAUAUUGCGUGGAGGAUAGCUCUGAUUUUGGUUGAGGCGUCUCCUUCACCUAUACCUAUGAUAGCAAUUCCACUAAUAUAUAGGACUUCGGACCACUAAAGGCCUUCUACGCCAUAAAGACCCGGUAAGCAAGUAGUACGUCUUUCCACCAAAUAGGGAGGAGCUCAUCACCAUGGGGCAAGUCCUAUUCUUUUGGAUUUGAGAAAGAAGAACUUGUCAAAGGAAUUGGGCAUUUACGAAGAAAGAGAAGAAAGAAGAGUGGGGCUCCAUAGGAAAAGAGGAGCUUCUGCUUACUUAAAAAAGCUCUUUCAUGAGAUAGACUCCUAGGAUGAAAUAGCGGGCACAAAGGCCCCGGGCACGAGGCACACAGUAAGGAGAGAGGACGGACUCGACCAUAGGUCGAGGGACGAGGCCGACGAACCGCACUAAAGAUCGGGCGCAUAAUUAGCUCUUUCCAAAGUGGCAUUCUAUUGAUAAGAUGUUUCGGCAGAUGAAUGAGUGCAGUUUCCGCUUGGGGUUGGACGCACCCUUAAAUAAUAGAGUGAGUCAGCGAAGAAGGAAGAUCAGAAUCAAGGUCAGACGGAGGCGCGAUAGGGGAAAAAAUUGGCUGAAGAUGAGUGCAAGAGGGGGAAUCAAAGGACUGGAAAGCGGAGUGGGAUUCCUUCUUUAUUAGUGCGAAUGUGAAGUUCAUGAACUUUUGACCCUAGGGUAGAUUCAAGAAAAGACGUCCAAUCACCGCUUUGAUAGUUAUAGAAUUUCUCAAAAAAGUAGAGAUUUACGAACAAAUGGUACAUUUGGAAGCCAAAAAGACGGAGCGGAGCCAAGUUCGAACUAAUAGGAGGAGUCCUUUCUUCUGCUUCUGAUAUGAAGAACUCAAGAAGAAGAUAAGAAAGCUCUUCUUCUCUUUCCCGCUCCGUCCGAAGGCGCAAUGAAAUAUGCGUUGAAGAGUUGCGUUCGAAAGAAAUCCAUGAUUUUUCCUGUGGAUAAAAGAGGUCCGGAGUCAAAUAUUAGUGGAAUGAAUGAGUCCUCCGGUUCAUUCUAGUGGAUAAAAACAAGUCCGGAGGACGGUCUCGCUCCUUCUUUUUGACUCAGCUGGAACUGGAAGUCUAGUUGUCGACUUUCUUCCUUCUCUCUCCGGUCUCGCUCAUCCCUUAGAAUUGGGAUUUGACUCCUUCAUAUCAACAAAGAUAUUUCAUGGCUUUCAGAACCGCUACGUGGGUAGAGCCACUGACUAAAGCUCUAGCUUUUGAGCUAAUUGAAGGAGAACGAGAGAAGGCUACUUCUGCUCUUUCAACUAAAGCGACUGCCUUUAGAAUAGCCGCAAUAUUCUUUGGGCCUCCGUAGCUUAAUAUGGGAAAUCUUGUUGAAGACGACCCCCUCCGCGGUCCCAUAAGACAGGUCCGAAGGACUAUCCAUCAGGGAGGCGCAAAGCAAGCCCACUACACGGGAAGAACUUAUCCACGAUCUUUGCGCCUGGACCUUUCUUUGACAGGUCUCGACCUUUCAUUUCAAGUCUAUAAUUUCUCCUUCUCCGAUCCUCGGUAACCCCAGCCCUUUAAAGUCAAGCCUGCUGAUCGACCGGUCGUCUUCGCCCGAUCUUUCUACUUUCGGACUCUUCCUCUAGCGCCUCUUAGUCUUUCCUUUUGAUCCGACGAGAAGAGUUACCUGUCUGCGUCCCCGCGCCGCGUAGUGGGCAGGGAGACUCUAACUCUUCCGAGACGGAUUCAACUCUCAGUUCCCCCUCUUCCGAUACAGUCUAUGAAGACCCUAACCACCCUAUAAUGAGGAGUUCUCGCUUCGCUGUUCUAGCUUUAGGCUCCAACUCUCCUUACCUCCCUCCGAUCCUUCUGGGGACUCAAAUAACUCGUCGGAGUCAAGCUGAUAACCUCUCCUGUGCCCCCAACCUGAAAGAUAAGAUCCCGAGCCGAGCCUCUUUCUUUGAUAAAGAGAAAAGAGAUCCCUGUCUGAAGGGGACCCUACUAACUUCCUUGUUCCCCACUCCUCUCCCUCCUCUGGGCGAGCUGACUCUUGGGGACUUUCUCGUCUACGAUACGAGUCUAAUCUUGGGACUUUUUCCCCCUAUACUUCAUCCCUUCCUGAGCAAUAUUCUUUGCACCUCCUUCAUUCAAUCUAUGAAUAAUGGCUUUUCAUCUUCGCUAUCUUUCCACUACAGCCCUUGAAAGGGGUACUGCCUCUGAGGAAAAGAAAGAGGAAAUCUGAGCAAUAUUCUUAGCGCCUCUAUUAUAUUCUGGACUAGAACUCUCUCUCUCCUUUGAUUGAAUCUUGGACUCCCGUAGGUCAACUUACUUCGUCCCGCCACCAGGCCUCGGUAAACUCGGUCUCUCUCCUGAAUUCCUCAACUGGUCGAGCCUAAUAAGGGGAGGAGAAUGCUCCUGAAAGUAGAAAGUAGUACGCUCCUUCUAUCCUAUACAGGAAAGCAUAAGGGGUUAGCUCAUACCUAUCUGCGCCAACUGAUCGAUCAUACGAACUCCCGACUCGCUCCUUACCCACCCAGUUUCUAAGUGGUUGACACACCGGAAAGAGCUGGAUUUCCUGCUAGAGCUGCUUUCCCGUCAAGGCUCCAUAAGAAAGGGGGAUAUUGUAGACCGCUUAUUUCAGUUAUUUCACUGCUUUUUUAUCGGCUAUUUAAUCAGACUUUUGAGAAAUCUUCUUUGAGCCUAGCGGAGGGGUCUAUAUAUGAACAGGUUAAUAUGGAUAGGACUGAGGACGGGAUUUCAUCCUUGCACUCCGUCCUCUUGACUCGUUUUCUCUUCUUAGAUAAAUGCGCUUGUCAAUAUUCUUCUCAUAUUCAUUCAUCCUACGCGCGGAUAUUAUUUCCAUUUCCACGCAACGCAAUAUUCAAAGUUUUCAUUCUUUCUUUUUUUUGGAACGCAUAUUUGAGCAAAUCAUAUUAAGCUACGGAGGCGCAAUGAAAUAUGCGAUUGAGAAAUCCAUAUUCAGUCUUAUGGAUCCUAACUACGGAUCCAUGAAAUUUGAUGAACUAGAGAAAAAAUAGAAUAUGUGACCGUCCGAAGGCGCCAUAAGACAGGUCCGAAGGACUAUCCAUUAGGGGAUUUCCGCUUUCUUUUUGUUUGCUGCGACUGAGGCAACGUAGUUGGGGGAUAUUGUUGAGUCUUGAGGGUCAAAGAUGAUGUAUCCUUGAAUGAUCUAUAUUAUUAAUGAAUCCGUAGAAUAGAUACUCAUACAAAUUCAUGAUGUGCCGAGAAAACCAGAUUUGAACUGGUGACACGAGGAUUUUCAGUCCUCUGCUCUACCAACUGAGCUAUCCCGGCCAUUUCCGACAAAUUCUCCUUCUUUUCAUCGAUUUGGUCUAUUUCAUCGAUUUGGUCUAUUAAGAAGAAAGAGAUAAAAGGCGCAAUUCAAUAUGCGUUGCGAAAAAGAAGGACGCAGAUGCGCAAAGAAUAGAAUAUGGAUAGUCCUUCGGACUGGCACAAAAGUCAAGAAAAGCAGAAUUCACUCAUUAACGAUAAUGAAAGAAGCUCAUUAACGAUAAUGAAAGAAGCUCAUUAACGAUAAUGAAAGAAGCUCAUUAACGAUAAUGAAAGAAUCAUUAUGAUUUCAUAACUCGAAUGAAAGAAUCAUUAUGAAUCUGCUAGAUUUCAGAUGAAUCCGCGGAGGGAAAUGCUAGGUUUUGGGCUCGACUGAUAAGGAGAGCUGAAAAGAAAUAGUAGAAAGAAAUCAUGAAAAAUCAGUCAUUUUUGAUCUAUUUUCGUGAAAUAGAAAUAUGAGAAAAAGUCCUAUUUAGAAGCAAAAAAGCCGGGAAAACGCAAUGAAAGAAGAACUCCUAGGAAAGGGAUAAGAAAUUCACAUAGUUUGAUUCUUGUUUGAGUUUCUUUUCCGGAGAAAGAGAGGUCUAUUCUUUAUUUCACUCCAGGUUAUGAAAGAAAAAUGAUGAUUUCAUUCUCGUUAAUGAGCUUCUUUUCUUGACUUUUCACAGGUCCGAAGGACUAUCCAUAUUUUUCUGUCUGUCCGAAAAGAAUAUUGCGAGGACGGAGGACGGGGAAUAGUGAGAAGCGGAUCUUGAAAAAAAGAAGCGGAUAUAGAAAGACUUUAUUUGGCCCUUUUUCGCACUUUUAGGCGCCUCAACGUAUAUUUCAUUUAUAGGAGGAUAGGCUUUCUUUUCUUAUGAGAACUCUGAUGUAGAAAAGAUUCCACUAAUAUGUUCGGGAAUAUUUAUAUAUUUGAUUUUCUUGUCUUCUUUUUCUGACUUUCCUUCCUCCUCUCCUUUCAGUCGAGCCUGAUUUUUCUUUUCUUUCUCCUUUCACCGCCUCAAUGGAUCUGGCUUUCUCCUAUUCAGCCUAGCGAAGCGAUUCUUCUUCUUUAUCUUUUUCAAUACCGAAUAGCGAAGCGAGCGGGAGAGUAAGGAGCGCAAAGAAGACGACUCCGGACUCUUAUCGACUUAUAUCUGAUUAUUUCUUUCCCUUGUUCAUUGAUCUUUCUUCUUAUUUCAUGAGCCGGCUCUCAGAAAUUGAGUCGAUCUUGUGCAAGGUUCUAGAACGAGAUAGAAAAGUGCAAAAUCAGAAGAUAUGAACAUAGGCUUUCUCUUUUCAUUUACUUAUUAACCCCUCUCUCCUUUCUGAGGAUAUGAAGAACUAAGAAAAAGAUAAGAAAGUCAGACCUUGUUCAUUGACUUUCUUCCUUCCUCUUUCUCUCCAACACGAGCCGUCAACUCAUCUGGAGCCUUUGUUUUGCAACAAGAGUCGGUUAUAGAAUAGUCUUUUGGUCAGCUUUCCCGUUCUUUCAGACUUUCUUUCUGGCCGGUAGUCAAUUCCUAGAGAGAGAAGUAGGGAUCUGAAUCUCAUUCAUUCCUUUUUGACCUUGCUUCCGAGACUCCUCCUAUUCUUCUUCGCCGACCGGGAUCCUUCGUCUUCCUUUCUGUCUAAUAUACUUCAUGUAGUUAGGGUUCGCCCGAGCAGACAAGACAGACUUUUCCACCGCUGGCCAAAAGAAAAGACAGAGAGCUAAACUCAAUAUUCUUUGACCUCGUCUAAAAAAAGAAAAGCGCUCAAUUGCGCUACUGCACCAUUCUACAUCCGUUGAACUUCAAACCACCGUCCCGGGCGCAGCCACUUUAAAUAGAAAAGAUUUGUAGUUUCAAGAAAUUAAUAAGGAAAGGCCUACGGCUUAGGCCUCCGCCCAGAGGUGGCUCCGGAUGGAAGCAGCUACGCUGAACUUACUUCAUUACGUAAAAAAGGCGGAAAACUAAAAUGCCAGACUCUCCAUUUACAGAGGUUUAGCGACUAGCUGCCGAGAGAUUCGAAGGAAAGAAAGAUAGUUCCCAUGCAGCACGAUCACAUCAGGAGGUUCAUCCUCAUUUGUCUCAAUCCGGGAGAGGAGAAAGGAAGAACGUCCAGCCCCCGUAGUUAGGAGAAAAGAAUUUGAUAAGGAGUGAAAAGAAUAUUGACAAGACUUCCAGGUGCGAAGGCCUAUCCAUUAGAGAAUUUGACUUUGGAGGAGGAGCAAAGAUCGUGGCCCACGGAGCGGCGCAAAGAAUAUUGCGUGAUCGAUAGCUAUUACUUUUCAGACAAAGAAGGACCUCUUUUAUCCACUGAUUGUAGUAGGCCGAAGGACUUGUUUAUAUCCAUGUAAAUAGUGGUCCGGAGGACUAUUAGAAUGUAGGCCGAAGGACUGAUUAAUGGAACUAACGAAGGACUUCUUUCAGUUCCAUAAUACUCCUAGCGUCAAAUAAGAAGCCUACGCUUUAAUUUAAUGGAUUUCUCAUAUUACAUUGAGCCUUAACAGUCUCGCAUAUUUCAUUGCGCCGGAGUCCGGAGUCCGCAGUCCGCAGGAUUUAUCCGUAGUCCGGAGUCCUACGUCCGCAGGAUUUAUCCGUAGUCCGGAGUCCGGAGGAUUCUUAUCCGUAGGACUAUCCAUUAGAAGUAGGACCAUCCAUAUGGAGGGAAGUAGUCCGGAGGAUUUAUCCGUAGGACCAUCCGUAAUUAACCGAAGUAGGACCAUCCGUAAUUAACCGAAGUAGGACCAUCCGUAAUUAACCGACUGAGGACGGGGAAUCUUGCGUUCGAAAGAAUAUUGGCGACUAUUCUUUAUAUAUUGAUUAGCUGACUGAACUUUCUUUUAGCAAGCUUUCUCGAAAGUUUAGAUCCAAUCCAGAGAGUUCGAUCUCUUAAGUCAAAGACAUUGGUAUCUAUUCAAACUCUUAUAGAAAGCGCUAGGAAUGCUUCUCUUCAUAAUCAAUGCUUAACUUCCUUCAUUCAAUAAUGAAUAGGAUGCUGCAAGUCCAGGUGAACCAUCUUCGACUAGCUAAGAAAGUAGAAUCAGUUCUCAAACUCUCUAUUACGUAAAAUAAGAUAGAAGUCUGACUCGCCAAGCUUAGUCAUUUUCCCAUCCCGCAUCGCUUCCACUUAGAAUUCCUUAAUGGGCCAAGGGGAAGGAAGAUAGGCUUUCUUCCAAAUAGUAGGUUCUAAAGACUACUGGUUGAGAAGUUCAAAUCUCCUUCUUUUCUUCCGUGGCAUCAGAACUUCCCUUCUAGGCUUAGGCUUUCUGCCUAAUAUCGAAAAAAUCAAAGAAAAGAAGGCAGAAAGAUCAAGCCUACCCAGGAACAUCGAUCAGUCCCUAGGGUUUACUAGUUUCAUUAGGCUCAUUCCUAGGUCAAAAAGAUCAAAAGCAUACCAUUUUGACCUCCGUCGGAUUGCAUAAAGAAGGAAUUUCAUUCAUGAUCGAGGUGCUGGGAACAAGGUUCAAAGAAGAUUGAAUAGGAAUCUAGCUCUUUUCACUCUGAUCUGAUUUGAGGCAGUAGCCGUCGUUCUUAUUCCUUCAAAAGAAUUUGCUGUCGCAGUAGUUGAAAGAGAAGGUUCUUAAGUAGCUUUAGUUGCAGGAGAUUGAGUAUGACCUCUGAUUUGAGAAGGAAUAUAGAGAAAAAGCCAAUUCUCAGAUCGAAGGACAGACUUUUGCAUCCUAGCCAGGGAAAUCCCCGUCAGUCAGAAGUUUUGACAGUAGAAAAGAAGAAACUCGCUCGACCCCUAGUGGAUACUACUACAGAGGGACUUUCGUCAGGUUUCGGAAUCGGGACGGGCCUUAGUGGAUACUACUACAGAGGUAGAGUAAUCAGUCUAAGUUUGCGAAUAGGAUUAGGAAUCGGCUGCUAGGGAAGAAGGGGAGGUUUCAACCCUUGAUGUAGCAGACUAUCCACUUACUUCCACUAGGCUUUCUCAAGUAAGGAAGACGUAGCGUUAAUGCGCUCGAGAAUGAGAUCUACAGGCGAGGCGCUUAUUUCUCUUUAUUUACUUAAGCAUGUUCCCCAACCUUUUUGAGAAGACAGAGAUUUGACUCUUUCAUCAUUCUACCCAUAGAAGAAAAAGAAGAAUAUGACCGACGGAAUAAGCAAGAAGAAAGUUCACCCUCGGAUAAUAUGGAUAUAAAGAAGUCCUUUCAGACUCCUUUCGUGGAAAUCAAUAUCCCUAUUGCUCCUCCUACGCGGUUCAUUCUAAAUAGUAUUCAUCCUUGCACUCCUCUAUAUAUUCUUUGCGCCUUCUGUCAAUAUUCUUCUCAACAAUAUCCCUGUGGCACCUUCUAUAUAUUCUUUGCGCCUCACGCAAACCGCAAUAUUCUGCAUUGAGCCUUCUAUCCUUCCCUUCCAGUCGCUUCGCUUCGCGCAUCUGGUCCGAAGGACUGACCGCAGAGGUUUGAAUACUUUGAGUAGUGGAAUACUUUGAUAGCGGAAUAAGAAGCCGGAGGCUGGGUCAAGACGCGGAGAAGGAGCAAAGAUCAUUGAUAAGGAAUAAUCUCAAUUGAAAGGCUUUUAUUUCAUCAGAGAGUGGGAAGAGAACAAGGCUCAAAGAAUAUUGAGAGCCUGCAGACGUAGGAGGCGCGAAGCGAAGCGCAUGAAAUUCAGAGGUGCAAAGAAGAAAGAAAGAAGUGCAAGGCAGUCGGAUAGGCUUUCCUUCCGCGUAGUAGGUAGUAGGCUGUUCUUUCCUUUAUUUGAAAGAUUAUUAUUUAUGGGGAAGAUAAAGGAAGAAGAAAGGACUCAAGAGUAGCGGUAAAGAAGUGAGUUACUCAACUCAACUCGACAGGAAAGGGAACCGCUUUAGCUGCCACUUAACUUAACCAAGAUCCUCUCCCACGGGUAAAGCUUCCCCCCGUUCUCGGAAAGAAUGAUUUUCCUAUCGUUAAGAAAAUGACUGAAAUAAUGGCUGUAAAUUAGUCUAUUUUCCCCUUUCCCGGUAUCCUUUGGGGCAUGAAAACGAGUCUUUCCGACGGGUUGAUCGGCGUCUCAGUUCUUUAUAGGCAGGAAUGCCCCAGUGAUUAGUUGUUCCCGAAGUAGCAGAUGUUGGAGUUGCUUUAUCUUUCUUUGAGAUAGUAGAAUUGCUGAACGAGUAAGCUCAUAGGAAGAUCCGUAGAAGGUAGAAAGAGGAAUAAUUAGUUAUGGGAAAAAGUCCCACCAUAAGUCAGGCUAGGGAGAAAAACUCCCAAGAAAGACACCAUAAGAAAAAUCAAGCUCCAGAUGAGUUGACUUGAUAAACCUCUAUUUAGCUUCUUAUAUCUUCAGACGACAGAGGAUGAAUGAAAUAUGAGUUCCUUCCUUCGUCUUUGCUUUCUUUGUCUCUUCUUUGUAUGUAAUUUCAUAUUGAAAGAAUCAAAACCUUUAAGUAAGAGAGGAUGGGACGUGUGUCCAGGAUGAAGAGAAAUAUGCCUGCGCCUCUUGCUUGCCUCCUCAGUUGGAAGCCCAGAGGAAGGGGAGUCUGUUCGUGCUAUCACUCUUUUCUUUGACUACGGGUCUUGUCCUAAUUGCAUGCUAAACCUGUCCCCGGGGUUUUUCAAAAGGGUAAAUCGAAGCGGAUAACUGAGUUCGCGCGCUUGUUUGUGGCACUUGGUCCGAGCUACCGGCGGAAGUCAGAAUUCCCAGUUUCAGCUCUCAAAAUAGGAUCUAACGAAUAGACCGGGUAUGAAUAAGCCGAGUGGGGAAGGGCUACUCACACUUGAAAGAGAACUCUCGCGGUCUUUCUAGUGGUAUCCGAUUCGGAUUGUAUAGCUGCUGGGAAGGAUAAAGAUCGAUCAAUGUCCCCAGAUUGCAAGGCAUUCAGAUCUCAAUGCCCAGGAGAGGAAGAAAGGUGACCGCUCGGUCUAUCCUCAGUCUUCUAGUGCAAAUCAUAUCUCUAUCUUUUUCAAAGCACGUCAAGACUCAUAAUCACAGUGCUUUGGGCUGGGGCGGAAGAUUUUGAUAAAUAAGUGAGUGAAUAUCGAUCUCUUCUAGCUCUUCGAACUCAUACUCCUCCGCUUGUCCAUGUCUCUCAAAAGAAUAGAGAAAGAGAUCUCCCAAAGUGCUUUGAAUAUCUCGAACUACCUGCGGAUCCUCGUAUAGAUUCCGAAUGCUCUCAUAGGGCUGCACGGCAAGCUGACUGAAGUCAGACCCAUCAAAAUAGAAUAUGAUCUCUUUCUGACUUCUCUUUCUUACCCUUUUUCAUUCAAAGAAGAAGAUGAGAGUUGUCAAUAUUCUUUGACCCUUGUUCAUUGAUUGCACUCCCUCCUUUCUCGUCUUUUCUUCCUCUCUCGUCUUCUUCAGUAUUUAUUAGGUUCUGGUUCUGACUUUUGAGCAUUAAGAGAAGGCCUUUCUUCAAGAUCAAGUUUGAAGGCCAAAUUCUUCUUUGAACCUUGUCAUUUGAAAAAAGAUGAGUUGAGUUAGCCUAUUUCUAGCUUUUGAGCUACUUACAGAAAGAUCGACAGCAGACUUCUCAAGAGCGGACUCUUCCUCAGCCCCGAUCUCGACUGAUGACUCUGGGCUUCCAACUUCCGAAACCUUUUUUCAAGCUAUUGCUGACUUUGGGCGAGCAGCUUCCAACUGGUCCGGUACUCCGGUCUCGCUAGCUUUGUGAUAGCUUCUAACCUUUCGCUUCUUCCUCUGCAGAAACCGAGACUUCUUCCCUAUCCAAUACUGGUACUGUCAAGCUACUUUCUUCCACGAAAGACCCAAGAAGACAGUGAAGUUGUUCACACCUCGUCAAAGAGUCGAGCUAGGUUCCACUCCCAAACCUACCAGCAAUCUCAAGAAAAGAGUCAACCAUCUCCACAGCAAGACGACUUGACUUGACUUAGGGCAAUCAAAUCCUUUUUGCCUCCCUUGUUCAUCGAUUAGUCGCUUCUUUUUUAGUGGUCCGAAGGACUAUCCAUAUGAACCUGGAAUAUUAGCUUUCUAUUUGAAUUCCAAAAAAUAGCCAUAGGAGUGCGAGAGAAAGAAGCGAAGCGACUGAUCGAUGUUCUUGGCUGGAGCCAUCCAUAAGAAUGAAAUUCCUAGGCUCCGUAGGAGUUGAAAAGCCUACCAUCAGAAUAGAAAUAUAUUCCAUAAAUCAGUCCAAGGAAGAAAAGAAAGUUCAGUCAGGAAAGCCUACCGCAACAUGAAAGUGGAAUAGAGAGGUCCUCUCUUUUUUAUGGGCCUAUUUCAUUCCAUAACUCAAAUCCCCAAAAGAGGGAGGACUAGUGCGCGUACUAGGAUAAGGAGAUCAAUCUGAGGCUGCAAGGGAAGAGAUAGAAGGCACUCAAGUAGGAGCGCUAAGUCAGAGAAAUGAGAACCCAGGGAGCGGUUGCGAGACCGUGUUUCAGAUCAAGAGUCUGAAAGUCAAUGAACAAGGGCUUUCUCAAUUGAAUCUGAUUAUAUCAGAAGAAAGGAGGUUAAGACGAGAGGCUUGAACCUACUUAAAGGAUCAAUGAACAAAGGAUAGGGGAUCAGUCCGAGCAGUUUCAUGAUCUCUUUCCUUCCCUUUCGACUUAUAUCUUGUUCUCCCUCUUUCAGAAGUUGCUCUCGUUCAAGAAAGAAGUUCUUUCAGUUCUUGUCCCAUCAGUAGAAAGAUCAAUAGGGAAUGAGCUAUUGUCCCAAGCCUAAUCACCCGGAUAAACAAGGGCGAGAUAUGCCAAUCAAAGUACUAAGAUCAAUAUGGCACGCGAGAAGUUCCAGACAAGAAAGGGAAUCCCGGGAUCUCCACCCUUCUAGCAUAAGGGUUCAGUACUCAAAGAAAGGGAAGCAAUAUAUCCCAUAGGGCGAACCUAGCUCCCCAAUUAUUCAUAUUCAUUCUCUCUACUCUAGUUCACGAGGAAGAAGUUAGCCAGGAGUCUCGAUCGUCCAGGUCUAGGACGCGGAACCUCUUUUGCAUCUGGGUCGAGAUCAGCGCUUUACCUUGAAAUAAAGACACCUUAAUGAGAAGUAGUCAAAAAAUCAGGAAUAGACCACCAAAGGAGUUGGCCACGAGGCCACCGAGAAGCUCUUGUUCUUGAACAGUUCGCAAAUAGGCUGAUUGAUUUCUCUUUUCACUUGGAUUGACAUAUCUCCUCGCUACGGGUCGCUACCUUUCUACCCCUUUUCAGUUAGGCGGCCUUAUAGCGCGCAUUCCCGAUCGAUCUGAUCUUUCUACUGAUGGAGAACAACCCCUCAUGGAGGAUUUCUACGUCCCGAUUUCAUGAGUGAGUUUGGAGAAUGUGAAUUAACAAACUAAUGCAAGAACAAAAUCUCCACCUCGGCCGGAACAACUACAGCGAGGGCAAGAGAUCCAACAGCAUUUCUCCCUCAACUACAAGAGGUCUUCUCCUCUUGUAUACAGCCCCGUGUAUUCUGACUCUGAAGGCAUGAACUCUAUCACUCAUUUAUUUAGCUGGGUCGGAGCCGAUAGGGACCCAGUUGAAGCAGCUGAGAACUCAUCAAGAAAAGAAAGAAAAAGCCUAGGCAAGGCGCGAAGCGACUGAAAGUUCGCCUUUGAAUAGUGCAGGGUUUCACGAUAAAGGAGCAGAAAGAUGAUCAAUUCAUUAACGAGAAAAGCCUAGAUCAAUGGAAGUCCGCGGAUGAAAUAAAAGGAAGAAAGAUCAAGCCAAAGGCGAGACUGAAAGGUGCGAAGCAGCUCGAAAAAGAAGGAGUCAAUGAACAAGGGCGACUCUUUCAGAUUCUUAGAAGGAGCCCUUCAAAUUAGAAAUCCAUAUGAACCUUAAAGAUUCUCUUCUUAUCUUUAUCUUAGCUAAAAUGCUAAAUUUGCAAGGUUUUGGGCCUAUACGGAACGCAACUUUUCAAGUCAAAUGCCUUCUUUUUUUCUCUAUUUUCGUUAAAUAUCAAUCUUUGAUUUACUAUGAAAAAGAAGCAAAAAAGCCGGGAAAUAGCAAUGAAAGAAGAACUCCUAUCCCAGAAAUGAACAUCGUUUGAUUCUUGUUUGAGUUUCUUUUCCGGAUAUUGAGAGGUCUAUUCUUUAUUCCGCUCCGGUUCAAAGAAUGUCAUCUUCUCAAUUCAUUCAGCCUAAAGGUGCAAAGAAUAUUGCGAAGGCGCAAAGAAUUUGCGAAGAAGGACUAUCCAUUAGGGCCUCAGUCCAUCAUAUCUUCUUAUUUCUUUCUAGGCUUCUUUCAUUCUCGUUAAUGAGUGAAUUCUUCUUUUCUUUUCUUGACUUUUCACAGGUCCGAAGGCGCAAUGAAAUAUGCGGGGAACCCGUCCUCCGGACCACUCAAAAUCAUGAAUUCCAAAAAAUAGCCACCUACUAAAAGGUCUAUGUUCUCAAACUCAAAGAACAAAGAAUGAUCGAAGGAUUCUUCCUUAAACUUAGAGGGAUCAGAUAGGUUAUCAGCACCGCCCAUGCAGGUUAGAAGGAGCCCAUAAAGGUUAGACACAGCUUGACCUAGAUGCGCAAGAAUGAGGGCGAGAUUUUUCUUUGGAGAAGCUAUUCCUUUACUUAGUUAGUGGGGGAGUUUCAAAGAAGAACAGUGUCCCAGUCUGAAAUCAAGGUUUCGGAAUUCAGUAGCGAGACCAGUCCGGAGGACAGGUUAAUAGGCCGAACCCUACUAAAUAGUAAAUAGUAGUCUUUGCUAAACCUGUAUCUGGCGUCUCGACUUUGAUCCCUUCGGUUCUCCAACCGAGUUCCAUCUUGAACUCUCUUAUCUUUCUAUCAUAUUUUUGAUAGCAAAUCAAGACCAAGGGGAACUAAAGCAACUGGGACUUCUACUUCUCAAUAUUCUUUGAACCUGGUCGUCGAGCCUUUUGCCUUGAUCCUCCAUUCGUGGAUGUCUUACGCCUAACCUAUCCUUCUCAUUCCUGAAAGGGAUGCAACCUGACUCUUACCCGGCUGGAGUACUUCCGCUUCGGGAGACACCUGAGCCACUUUGAAGCGGAGACGGGUUGAGGUACUAUUUCCUUUCCGUAAGAAGAUAUAAUGUCCAGUUAGAAUAGAACUGGAACAAGAACAAAAAGAUUUGGAUCCUCCAUAACCUUUUCCGCCUAUCGAGCCUUUGUCCUUCAUUCCUAAGGGAAAGCAGAAAUACAGGGUUGAAGCCGGUUAAUAUGGAUAAAGAAGUCCAUUUUCACGGCGGAUAAAGAAGUGCAAAGAAUGAAUAUUGCCUUCAAAGACCGCAAAGUACAAUCGAGAAGGGGAUGAAAUAAGGAAGUCGCGUAGCUAGGUGGGCGCCCACUAGAUCGGCGAAAGGUUAGAAUAGAAAGACCCCCACGGAGGGAGCGGGGGGAGAGGAGAGGCCCGUGGCUGUAGCAUCCCUUUCUCUUUCUGAAGUAGCCGUCGUUGUGCCCUCUCUUCUUUAUGGAAAGAAGAAGAGAUUAGGAAUGAGUUUUGAAUAUUCUUAAUUCACUCAUCAAUCUCAUUGUUGACAUUAGAUUCCCCAACGAGUGAGUUCAUGUCUUAAAGCACUAUUGGGCGGAGGUGAUCAACUAAGAAGUAAGAAGAAAGAAAGCACUUGACCUUAAAGGCAACGAUGAAGAUCAAAGAAGAGAGUUCUCCACUGAACCUUUUCUUCUAAUACGUAAAUCAUCAAGCUAAGAAUGAAAGGUGCGAGGAGACCGUAAAGCCUCUUAUUAGUGGAGGUAUUCUUAACUGAAUCUCCACCUUCUCUCUUCCAUAGGUGCAGUCUCGACUCUAAUUAAGAAAAGUAGGACAGGGACAAAGGUUAGUUCCCUUAGCGUGCCGCUCCAAAGAAGCUUUCCCGGAUUGAGGAAUGCAUUGGCUGUUGGAAUCUCAGAUCUCUUUCUAUUAGUUCGUAAAAGAAAAAAGAAGAAGAUAAAGAAUAAAGAAGACGGAGAAUGAAUGACUUUCGGUGACUCAACCUGAAAAUAGAAUGAAUAGUCCUCCCUCCGACGGAGCAAAAACAAAGGUCUCGCAACGAAAAUUGAAUUCAGCCUUGCACUCAACGCAUAUUUCAUUGCGCAUCUGGACCCCUUAUAAUUGGGCAAUAUUCUUUGUCAAUAUUCUUUUCACCUCCCCGGUUCAAUUCAAUAUGAAAGAAGAGGAGGACUAUUCACGCAAUAUUCUUUGCGCCUUCGCCCAACCGAAAAAGAAAGCGUCAAGGUGCCCAAAAUAGGACUUCCAAAAGCAGUCUACAUAGGGACUCGGAGAGGAAUGAAAUAGCUCGACCCUUGAUUGAGGGAGAGGAAUGAAAUAGCUCGACCGGGAGAGGAAUCUCAAGUUCUUUCACUAAUUAAUAUCCUAUCCUCGACAGACAAGGGGCCGGCCAGCUAACCGGAAGAAGCAAGGUGCAAAGAAUAUUGCGUAGGAAUGGAAUAAGAGUGAGAAUAGGUUUCAUAAGACCCAAGGGGACUUUAAUCAUGAGCGAAGCACUCUUUCGUUAGUAUCUCCAUCCGUCCCAGAUAAGGAGGAAGGGGGAAUUCUCAGGGGGCAGGAGAAUAAUAAAUAGUACCUGGAUGAGUUCUUGUCCCUUGUAGCUUUGCAAAGCAAUUAUGCCAAAUAUCUACUCUUAGAAGAAGCUUUUCGGCUAAGAAGACCAAUUCUCAUCCGCUGGUGAGGCGCUCGACCUCUAUCCCUUGGAUAAGGGUACAAGGAAGAGGCAACUGGGGAAUUCUGUCUACGGCAAAAAGAAAGGCCUUGAACGAGAAAGAAUGGUAUUGACAAGGCGAUUUCUUACAAUCAAAAAAUCAGGCUAUUUGCGAAAGAUCGAACGUACCUAGUUCGCCUCCUGGUGUACCGCGUAGUGGGCUAAUCUUAACAAUGAUGAGUUAAUCAAUGAGAAAAAGUAUAAGAAGUGGAGUUUCAUCCCCUUUACCGUUCAGACGUGGAUAGAAGAAGGCACUGCUUGUGCGACCAAAUCGGCUAUCACCCGAAUCCAAAGAUAAGGGGGUAGCGGCUUUUAGAAUAGCGAAUAGUCAGCUGGUCCGAAGGACUGACCGCAGAGGUUUGUCGAGCUUCGAUAAUUCUUUGAGCGUCGGACUUUAUCAAGCUUACGAGCUUCCCAGGAUAGUCGGACCCGUCGAAUUCUAUUUGGUACUUUCUCACGCAAUAUUCUUUGCGCCUAGCCUUCGGACCUGUCUUAGCCUUCGCACCUGGAAGUCUAGUCAAUAUUCUUUUCACCUUCGGACGGGUCGUCUUGACCCUUAUUUCCAUAUUCAAUUAAGGACCACUAAAAGAUAGAGAGGAAGGAAAGCCUAGACUUAUCGAUGUUAUUGGAACAAGGUUCAAAGAAUAUUGACAAAGCAGAUCCACAGCAAGGGUUUCAACUUCAAUUUCUCAUGAAAUUCUUCCUUAUUUUGAGUCCCCGUGGGAGUUUGAGCCUGAAGAAUUGAAUUUUGAUGCCUCCUACGGGGUUCAUUGGGAUUCUACGACCUAUGGAAAGAUCUGGUGCGUACUUGGCUCGGUCGUUCUAAUUCCUCCUCUGCGACCGGUCCGGAGGACCUCUUUUAUCCACUCUUGUCUUCCCUAGCUUCCGAUUUAUUUGAGUUCGGGAACUAAAGAAGACAGCAGCUACUCACGCAAGAACCUACUCUGAUUAAUGAUGAGAAAUAGCAGCAAGGCCCUUGAUUUUGAACAUCUCUAUCCAGACCAUAGUACUCUUUCAUUUCCGUACUCCCCUCCUGAAACCUAUCUUUCUACCAAAUUACUGGGCGAUUCCGACACAAUGAAAAGAUGAGAUCGGGGCGAAGACCUGAUAAAGAAAGCCCCCCUGGAUUGACUGUAUAAGAAGGAUCAGUAUGAUCGCUUAGAAGGAGCUGAGUGAACGAGGUGUGAACGACCAAUACCGACCAAUUCGGUACGAAGGGCUAACUAUGAAUUAUCUGUGGAAAUCUCCCAUAAAGAAGAGAGACGGACUUUCCUCAUUCAUUCGACUAGGACAGACACGCCGGCCGUCUCCAGCUAAAAGUAGGGUUACGUGUGUUGAGGGAAUGAUCAAUGAGUCAAUCGGGGAAGAGUACUCAGUCUCACCUCUAACUCUUCGGUGUCUCGGUUGAGGUCAAAAAAGGUUAUCCGCCUAUUACCUAUAGGAGAAAUGCUGGCAUGAAUAGACUUCCAGUGAUCAAUGAACAAGGGUAAGCUCCCCCCCCGACUCAUAUGGGGUCGACGAACAAGACAAGAGUGGAGGCAUCAAAAUAGAUCAAUGAAAGAGGACUAAAAUCAAAAGGAAGCUGUAUUCUCAGUUUACUCGGGUGAAGCAGCUAGAUACAGAGUUGUAGAGAGUUCAGGAGCAAAGCUCCUUUAUUGAGUUUAGUCGGGUUCCGGAGCUGAGUUCAGCGCGAAUAGAACCAGAAAAGGAAUAUGAAAGAAAGCCUAGGGUGCAGAGUGGAAGAGCUUUACCGCGUAGGCUUUCCUUUUGUAUUUUCAGAAGUUCUCUCUCAAAUUUCAUUCAGCCUCAGUCAUAAGUACUCUUUUCAUCAUCCAGAAAGAAAAAAAAGGAUGAAUAAGGGAUGUUUCCGUGAGUUCCAUCAAUAGAAAGCAUAAGAACAAGCUCACUUAAGUCGAUGUUCCUCGUAUGAGUAUGAUCUCUUUCGGUGAGUACUCUGCCUUUCAUUCUCUCUUUCCGUGAGAAACUCCUUUCGGAAGACUGAAAGACUAAUUCGAUAGAAAGUUGCUAGGGAAAUCUCUCUCGAUCGGUGCUGGAAGGAGAAGUGCUAGCUCUUUCCGAACAUCCUUAGAUAGGAGCGGAGCAGCUCGACAGGAAGCCGGAGAGGCUGAAUUCCAUUUGAGAGCGGCUCGCUCGCAAGAUUCUCUUUUCAGUGGAAGGCAAUAUUCCCCAUAUUAAGCUACGGAGGCCCCAUAAGACAGGUCCGAAGGCGCAAAGAAUAUAUUUAGAGUUUACAAAUUAGGAGAAAGUGCUGAAGAAUGAACUCAUUAACGAUAAUGAAAGAAGAAAAAAAUGGGAAUGAAAAAUAAAGAGGUGAAUAUGGGAGAUUUCAGACUAGUCCUUCGCGGAGGGAAAUACAAGAUUUUGCUAGGUUUUGCCCAUAGGGAAGUAGCAAGAAAUCAUGAAAAAUCAGUCAUUUUUAGACAAUUUUCGUUAAAUAGAAAUCUUUGAUUUAGUCCUAUUUAGAAGCAAAAAAGCCGGGAAAACGCAAUGAAAGAAUCAAGCCUAUCCCAGAAAUUCACAUGGAUCAGUUCUAGUUUGAGUUUAUGGUCCGGAGAAAUACAGGUCUAUUCUUUAUUUCACUCCGUCUUCAAUCUCCAAAUCAAUGAAGGAGUACAAUGAACAUCAUAAUUCUUCUUUCAUUCUCGUUAAUGAGUUAAUUAUUCUUUUCUUUUCUUGACUUUUCACAGGCGCAAAGAGCGAGCGAUUCAAUCUUCUUUUCACAACUCUCGGAGGUGAAGGUUGCUUCUGCUUCGUACGUGGAUCACUGACUGAAUCUUCUCAUGAACGUCCAAUGAAAGAAAAGAAAAGAAUUAUCAAAAAAAGAAAGUCACUAGAAUGUAAUCCGGAGGACUCUCUGAAAUCCACUAACAAGAAAAAAAGAGCUUUUAUCAUGAUGAUUUUGACAUAUGAAAUCUUUUUCUUAGCGAAAAUGCAAAAUUCUAUCUUUCCUAUCGAUCACACACACAUAUUUCAUAAAUAGCCCGAUCAUCCUUUUGGCCUGCGGUAUAUGUCGAGAUUUUCUUUCUCGUUCUUUCCUAUCUAUCUGAUUUUCCUAUCUAUCUUAUCUGGCUGAGAACUCUGUCGCUAAAAACCAUUGAAAUGCUUGCUUCUAAAACCUAUUGAGUUCCUUCUCCACUUUUUUUAGUAACUGACGAGUCUGAAAAGACUUUUUUUUGCAAGAUCGUCUUCCGAAUCGUCUAAGAAAUCUCUGAUUACAUUUCACCUUGCCUCCGCUUCCUUUAAGUAGGUUCUUUAGUAGGUUCGUUUCCGUAGGUAACUUGCCGUAGGUUCAUGCUUCGCUUCGCGCCUUCACACCUCCCGGUCCGUGGUAGUUUCAUUUCCGGCAUAAGCCAAGGCCUCUGACUUAUUGUCGAAUUUCCCCUAAGACUGAGGCCUUCCCUUGAUCUGAGCCCUCUAAGUCGAGCAGCUUCUCGCACCUCAACCCGCUAACCUCGUGGAUUCAGCCAGCCUCCCCUACGUUAUUCCCUUGAACUUAUCUACAUAAACAUAAGGGGAUAGAGUACUGUUCUGAGCCCGGAAGCGGCUUUCCCGUUGAGAUCUGGAACUUGACGCUUCUCAUUCCCCUUGUGGGAACUCAUUCCGAGAUUCUAACUGAACUUAUUCAAUUUCAAUGGAACACUUAUACAGAACAAGGGCUCCAAGCCAACGUAGCAGCAAGGGCACCACGGUCUGGUCUCAUUCCGAUGCCUCUUCUUAUAGUCUCACCUUUCUCCUCUCCUUGAACGUCGAGCUACUAACUUCUUAUGUUCCGUCUCUCGAUUUCAUUCCGAAACGGCUCCGUGGGGUAAUUUCUUUGUCUGAUGUCUGACCCUUGCUUUGCUUGUUAAUACGGACUCCCUAGCUGAUUUCAGAGUCUUUGACUCGAAAGAAUGAGAAUGAACCCAAACCUCAAAUCAGCCAUUCCCCCCACUUGAACCUACUUAAAGGCACCUACACGGCAAGGAACCGUAGGCAAGGUUUUGAUGAUUAUAAGGACUAGUACAAAGAUUAGUAUGCGAAGCUUUAGCUGGAGGAAAGGAAAUCAAUGAACAGGGGCUUAUAACCUACGGCAAAGAAUCUCCGGAGGGGUGCGGAUCGAUAGAAAGCUGCUUUACCUUAUCGGAUCGGAAUAAAGGGAACAUCCCUUCAUCUGCAGACAAGAACUGGAGGCAAGGUGAAAUGUAAUCAGAGAUUUCUUAGACGAUUCGGAAGACGAUCAGACGAUAUGGAAUCGUCUGGAGAAUCGUCUUCUUGGCUAGAAGCUUUACCAGUUGGGUGCGGGGAAUCAAGACGAACCCCAGAGACCGCUGUUUGGGAAAGCCGUGAAACUCCUUUUCUGCUUCUACUACUUAAACAUAUCUUUCCGAAAAAGGAGUGUCCUCACUAAAAGGAGUGGCCCCCACUCCCAAGAAAAGCUGCUAAGCGUGCUCGUGCUCCGUCUCUCGUCCGAUGAGAAGCCUCGUGCCCUCAUCCUUUGUUUCUUCUCCUUCGAUUUCCUUUUUCAAUUUCCUUUUAAGGAGUAAGAGGAGCGGCUCCUCUGCUUCAAAGUUGAUUAAAACAUUUGACCCCUCCCUCUCUUUCUUUUCAUAAAUAAAGGCCAUUGGAUUCAAUCCCCUCAAUAUUCUUUGAACCUCCCUCUCUCCUUUGUAUAGGUGGGUUUUUUUUGAGCUUGCGUCCGCCUGGCCCUGGCCUCCUGGGAACAGGUAUUAGAGCACAGGCGAGUAGGUUCAUUUGACACCUUUCGAAGAGGAUUUCCUCGGUAAUCUGUAGAUAAAUAGGGUCCCCCUCCUUUCCUCCUUCUAAUGGAGGAGAAAAGGCUUUCAUCCUUUGGUAGGAAAUCUGGGCAAGCCCAAUAACGUCGUAUGCCUCCAUACGCAGAUAGUACUUUUCUUCUAGGAAGAAUUCCUUCACUCGAAAGAAGUUCUUGUCCAGUGGUGGGCCCCCCUGGGCCUCGAGAAUAGCCGCUCUCUUUCGUAUGCACCACCCCACUCCGCGGUGGAAACAAUCCUUUCUUCUUCAAUCCUUUUCAGAUGGGAGUGGAACUUUAGAGGGAAGAUCCUUUCGGCCCAGGGUCCCGUCUUCCUAAAAAGAUAGGGUAGGUCCUUGCCUUUAUUUCUUUUCAUAAUGGGAACGUUUUUCUUUUUGAGAAAGACUCUUUCAUACUUAGCGUCGAGCCUACAUCUUUGCCCAUCUAAGAGUUUCAGAAGAUGAUUCAGGUAGGCCCCCGGCUUUUCUUCGUAGAGAGUCUUCUCUGCUACGUGGUCCUGAAAUUCGUCCAGUACCCAUAGAUCAUGGAAGUCAUCCGCACCCGAGUAGUCACUCUUUCUUUCCCCCGUGGUGUAUACCUUAAGAGCCUGCUGCAGCAUGCGGAUCAGUAGGGUUUUUUGGGUACUCGGUUCGCCAUAAACGAAGAGUUGCCUUGUCUUUAUAGGCCUCUUUGAGCCCACUACGCGGUUGACGGCAAGCCAAUCCAAAAGAAGGAAUUUCUCGUCCAAGUCCUCCGGUUCGUAGGCCUGUUGCCAUCCGUGCUCCCAUAGGUAAUUGGGAAUUCUUUCCAUUUCAAUCUUCUUUGAACCUACUUUUUUCGGCCUUAGUUUCGUGCCACAUUUGUUGUACGACAUUGUACUUUACCCAUAGGGCCCCUUGGAGCAGUGGAUCAUUUAGAACGGAGUUCCAAUUCUCGUGUAUUCGUAGUCUCCGGAAAGGGUGCUUUUUUUUGUUCCGCCUGAAGACGAAGUCGAAGUCUUCUUCUUCGUGCUUGCCAGGGCCUCUGCCAGUAUUUCUUGGAUGGAGAACUCUCCCCAGACGAAGGGCUCCUUGUCCUCCUUGGUGACGUAGUAGCAGAGCGAUCCCCACGCCUUAUGGAAGGUGACCCAGCAUUGACUGCCUUCGAAUUCUGGGAAUUGGCUUCUAAUGCGGUUUGCGGCAUUCUACCUAGUGGCAUUCCGGUUCAGUAGAGCUACAUUCAAAUGGUAAGACCCAUCUUUGUCUUUUUCCCUCGCUAGAACGAUGGAAAGACAUUGAAAGAGACUUUGCAGUCUUUCGGAAAUGAUCCCACGUAGCGGUGUGACUUUAGCUCUUUCUCCCCUGUCGGCUUGGGAAAGAGUCACUGAAAUUCAUUUCCGUGUAGUGGUCCGAAGGACUUCUUUAUUCUAUUCCACUUGCUUGGUCCAUGAAAACACACUUUAGCCUUCUGGUAGAGAAAUUCAAAAUGAUAAAUAAGAUAGGCUCCUGACGGAAUAGUUAAGAACGGUGGAUAAAUCUAGAACUAAUCCGAAGGGUUGAGCAGCUUCUCAUAUUUCAUUGACCCUAGCCCCUCGAAGCUUCCGUAGAGGAGCUGAGCCAUAGACCCCCAUCCUCUAGAGGGAGAUGCCUUUUCUUUCCUAAGAAGAAUCAGUUCUUCAGUCAUUCUUCCUGUCCGGCCGGAAACCCCGGAGCUUUCACUGUACGGCUUAGUCUCUUCCUCCUAAGUCAGGUAGAAACUGAGAAGGGAGCUGAUAGUAUAUUAUGGAACCAGCCUAGUUCGUACAACUUCGUCAACCUAGAAAGAGCCCGAAGGUGAGCCGCAAUCUACUAGGCUCCUAGCAAAGCCGAAGCCUUAAAGAAGCUCCCCGGCUUCGCCUUCGACCCCAACCUCAUCAUGAGGCUUAUAAGAAGGUGAAAAGAAUAUUGACGGGAAAAAUCAGACGUCAGAGCUCACUUUUCUUGGUUGUGCAGCUAUCGGCUGCUGGCUUUGAAGGAUGGUACGGCUCAGCUCCGCGGAGGUAGCGGCUUUGUCUUUCCUAACCGGCUCCGCGUCUUUGUCUUUCCUAACCGGAGGGAGCGGAGCGUCAAUAUUCUUUGAACCUCUUCUAUUUAUUAUCCGGGAAAUCUCUUGCUAACCGCUUUCCGUCUUCUGAGGCUCGGGAGGUAGCGUAGCCUCUUUGUCUUUCCUAACCUAAGAAGAAUCAGUUCUUCAGUCAGUCUUCCUGUCCGCCCGGAAACCCUGCUGCUUUCACUGUCCGGCUUAGUCUCCUCCUCCUAAGAAAAGUAGGGAGAGCAAGAAAAGAUUCCCCAUUGGGGGCUACCGAGCCACAAAGAAAUAAAGGUCAAAGAAGAGACCGAGGCUCAAAGAAUAUUGAGAAGGUGUGCGCUCCGUCCGAAGUAGCUUAAUUAGUCAGAAAAGUCAUAGUCUUACCUACGGAAACGAACCUAAAUAAGAAGAACGAAUCUUGCAUUGAGCCUCCGGACGUAGGAGCCUCUCAUUCAUUCUCAAUUCAUUAAGGAAAAUCUUUUCUUUCAUGCUUUUGAUUAUCGUGAAUAAAGAACUCAUAAAUGAGAUUGAGAAAUGUAAUAAGUUCAUCACUCAAUUUCUCGGUAGUUUCUUCUUUCUAUCUUUCUUCUUCUUUGAAAGAGGUUGAGAAAACCCAGCGCCCCGGGGGAGCGCAAAUCUCUGUAGGAGUCCUUCGGACCAGUAGUGGACCGUCAAAUAUAGGUGCCCGAAGAAGCCGGUCAACGUCUGGCAGAGUAUCCACCGAUGGAUAAGAAGAAGGAAGACAGACUUUACACAACUAUGACGGUAGACAAAGCUUGAUCUCUUGAUCUGAUCUUUCUGUCUUAAGAGAUUGAUUUGUUCUCUCUCUUAAUCGAUCUGUCUUACUUACUCCCUAAUCGAUCUGUCUUAAGAGAUUGUAUUUCUCGAUUUCAUCCCUCCCAUAUCUCUUUCAUUUCUCGAUUUGAUCUAUCGAUUGUAUCUCUCUUAAUCUCAAAUCUUUAGAGAUUUGUCUUCAUCUCUUUUCUUUAUCGAUCUUUCUUUCUUGAUCGAUCUGAUAGCUCUUAAGCGUAGCGACUCAGACCGCUAGCCUGAAUCAGCUUUCCCGGAUCUUUCUUCAUCUGCUUUUCCUACGCGUAGCGGACAGCCGUCAACUACUUAGAAUUUCUUUAUCCGAGCAUUAUCAGGAGAAAGGGAGAAAGAAAGGCGCAAAGAAUAUAUAGAGCGAUUCAAUCUUCUUUUCACCUUGUUCAUUGAGGCGUCGGACUUGUUAAUGGAAUUUCAUUCCUUCUCAAAUUCUCAAUAUUCUACCCCCUUUGUUCAUUGAUAAGAGUCGAUCUUCUUCUUCACGUCCGGAGGACUGGUCCGAAGUCCUAGUCUUUGAGUUCUCCUUAUCUAAUGAGACCUUGUAAAGGGCGAACUUUCAGUCGCUUCUCAAAUUCUUUGCACCGCUCCGUGGGUCGCAAAGUUAUUUAAGGUUCAAAGAAAAGAAUUAUCUCAAGGGGAUAGUUUCAAGAGAAUUCCUUUGAGCCCUACUAACCCACUACGCGGUAAAUCCGGCCCGUAGGUCGAGUGGCUUAGCACCGCAGAGUGGGAAGGAGAUAUUCAUAGCCCUUCUUCCGACCUGGUGUUCGCUCCGAACUCACCCUAUUUCGCUUACUCAGUUGAGGCGCCCUAGUAUGAAGAGGUUCCAGAAAAGCCCUUUAUGGGCAGCUUCUAAGCAUAUCUAUAGAAUAAAUAGCUUGACUCAAGGACAAGAAGCGAGGGCUACUUCUUAAAGAAGAUCUGCUGGAACAAGAACUUCCCUCUGAACCCGAUCCUCUGAGAGUGGAGUUAGAGCGAAGACCCAGCCGGGCAUGCAAGGUUUUCCCAUUCAAUGUGGUCAUGGUCAAAUCCGCCUCUUUCAGCUGUAGCCCACUCUGCGGUGUGAAUGCGACUAAGCGAUGAAAUCUCAUUAGACGCGGACCUCCGCUUUCUCUGUCUGCUUGGACAUCCCUUCAUACCGCUUAAGAGCCAAGAAGGCCUGUGACUAGAGUCGAAUUACCGCUGCUACGUGGGGAACCUAGGGCAAGGAAAGAAAGACUUCCGCUCCGUCUUCCGCCUGAAAUUCAUGUAUAGGAGUCUCGACUGGGACGGACGGAUUCCAUUCCCUUGCGUAGGUCUGCUUGGAACAUCCUACCUCCUUGACUUUCCUUUCUAGGCAAUUUCUCACGAAUGAAAGAGCGAUCCAAUCGAUUCCUCUGCAAGAACAAAGCCUUAACCUAGAGCGCGAACUCAUUCUCUUCAAAAUCUCUCUCUCUCCCGCGAAACUAAUAAGAAGAUAGUAACUUCAUAGAAUAAGAUAAGAAAGCUAAUCAGUCAAUGAAUGAGUCUGAACCUACAUGGAUUUCACAGGUUUUUUUUGAAUAUAGACCUUACAAUAUCCCUGUCUUAUGGCACAAACAAAAGUCAAGAAAAGAAAAGAAGCUCAUUAACGAGAAUUCAAGAAUCAUUUUUCUUUCAUUCGAGUUAAUGAGUGAAUUCUGAUUUUCGUCAAUAUUCUUUGCGCCUUAUAAUGGGCUAAUUGGUCCUUCUUCUUUCUUAGAAUGAAAAUCAAGCUUUCCUACACCUCUCAUCUUCUCUAAUAUAAUAGAAUAUUGAAUCUGAGUUCGGCGCACUCAUCACAUAAAUAGUAAGCACGAACUCAAGAGAGGGGAAGGGGAUCGACCAGGACGCUGAAAUGGUGAGUUGCGCCUGAAUUACCUAUCCUAGCUUACCAUACUCGGUGCUUGGGAUGGGAGACUUUAGCCUACAAUGGCCAAGAACGCCAGUUCCCGAGGCAGCAUGAACCCUCUUCUUUAUGAGGGGGACAAGGAGGAGUCCACUGUAUUUAACCUUCACCAUCAGCGAAUGGUACCAUUUAGAGCAAAUUGGCAAGGUUCUCAGAGUUAUCCGUCAACUAGCUGAGAUUUCUGAGAUGCUAGCACAAUUGACCACCUUGAGGGCAGACAUCGAAAAGCCCUGGCUUUGAAUUUGAAAGUACUCAUCUUACCGAACCCAUAAAGACCCGGUAAGCAAGUAGUACGUCUUUCCACCAAAUAAAUAGGGAGAAAAGGAGCUCAGCACCAUGGGGCAAGUCCUAUUCUACCUGAUCCCACUCCUCUUCGGAAGCUGUCCCAGUUGAAUCAUCAGAGGCAGAAGUGGCGGAAGUAGCCUAAGUUUCAGUCGUUGUUCCAGCAGAUCUUGGAAGUCGCUUAGUGAAGUUCCCCUAUCUUUCCCAAGGCGCUUGACCUCAUAGGAAAAAGAAAGCGUAGUAGCCAGCCGCUCGACCGCUGAAAGCAAAGGAGGAAAAAGGGCGAUUCGAGCCCACGUAGCGGUAAGAACUGAGAAAGUGCUGGUCCGGUUGGAGUUGCUUUUCUUUCUCCUCUUUCUUCAUUCUUUGACUCCUAGUCGACUCUGAUUUUACACGGGGGAGUUACCUGGGAUCUUAGAAAGAGUAUUCUCCCAGAACAGAGCGGAUCGAGAAGGAUGAAUGGGGGACUGUAUUUGUUCAUAGUGUCCGAUUGGUCGACCCGGUGUAGAUGUAGUAGACCUAGUUUCAUAUGCUCUUCCUAUCCCCUCUAUUCGCGUGGGAGGGAAUUUCUCUCAUCACUCUUCCCAUGAGUGACCGAGAUUAGCUUUCUUAGUGAGAAAAGGGGAUUAGAAAGAGAGGUCAGGAGAGAGAAGCGCGGCUCGAGCUAAACGAAAGGCGAGAAAGAAAGCCCAAGAAUAUCCCUGUCUUAUGGCACCGCUACGUGGGGCAAUAUUCUUUGCUUUCCGCAAUAUUCUUUGCGCCGGAGUUAGGAGUAUUAAGACCGCUCCUUUCAGUUCCAUAAUACUUUUCUAGUUAUUUAACAGUGGCUAUUUAACAGCUUUUUUUUCCAUAAUACUUUCUAAGUUCCAUAAUACUUUUUAAGCGGAAUAAGACUCCUUACUAUUUUAGAGUGUCUAGCUGACUUGUUUAUCCAUUAGAAAAGUAGGACUAGAAAUCCAUUAUUUUGAUCAUAUUUCAUAAAUAAGGAAGAAGACUUUACAAUAGAGAAAUUUCAAGCGUCAGACAGGCGGUUAGAACAAUCUAAUCCCCUUCCUUCUUAAUCCGUACUUCAGACUUGACUCUUUAUUACUUUGAAAAUGAUGAAAAAUCAAGGUCAUCUUCAACCUUCUUUUUGAUGCGCCUCAGUCCUAUCCAUUAGAACCUUUGAGUUGGAUGUCUUAGAUUCGGACAGAUUUGAUCUCACUCUGGAUUUCUCUUUCAGACUUUAGAGCGGGCGAACUUCAAUCAGCAUACCUUUUUCUCUGCUAAUUCAAGAAUCUCCGCUAUUUCCUGGUUCAGAGUUCUGCCUUCUCUUCUCUUCCUUAAUCAGGAAAAGCGGGUAUGAAUCAAAUCAAAAAUCAAGUUCACCGGAUUCCGGAAAUUGAAGAUAAGGCUCUAACUUUCUUUGAAUGAAAAAUAGGUGACUCGAUAUACAGCCUUCACUUGGUAAACUCCACUGCUUGGAUCUGCUGCUGAAAGACGGUCAAGCUUCGUCCCAGUCCUUACCCUUCUUUAUAGGAUAGUUAUGAAAUACCGCUACGUGGGGUCGUACGAUACCCUCUCCCGGUAGCUGCUCUUGUGGAGGAUGUUCCCUUGUGCUAUCUGUUCUUGCUCUUGAAGCCCACUCCACGGUAAUAUGCCACCCUGCUUUAAUGAGAGUAGAGGAGCGAAGCCUAGCUCAGCUAGGCUACUUAAUCAAGUAUAAACCUUGAAAGAAUAAUCUAAGCUUAGACCAGAAAGGAGCGAGAAGCCGUCUCCUAGCCUCGGAGUUAGACCUUUCCCUAGUUGACUUGGGUGCGGAUCGAUAGACUUCGACCUACUACACAAGAAAAGCAGCUUUCCCAAUAGCGAGACAAGACAAUCAUAGGCUCUCGCCGAGUCUCAUGACAGAAGAGGAAGAAUUCUAUCUUUCUCUUUCAUAAGUUGAAGUCGUUGACUAAAGCUUAAGGAAAUCGUGAACUCAAUAAUAUCCAAUUCUAUUAGAUUCCCGAGAACUAAGGCAUAUGCAAAGUGGGACUAAUAAAGAAAGGAUGAGAAAUUCAUUCUAUGCUGGUAAUGCCUUAUUUCCUACUAACAAAGGAGAUAUAGAAUCCUCUGUAGCUGUAGCAACGGAUCUUGCUUACUCAGCCAGCCGGUGACGCUUCCUCUGCUCUUCCACUCUAUCUCAACUCGGUCUCUCUUACCCCUAUUUAUUUAUGGAUCUCAUUUAUUAAGCUACGAAGGCCCAAAGAAUAUUGCGACUUUGAACGAGCCUUGCCUUCAACUUUGAAUAUAUUUGAAUAUGAUAUUUCUAUAUUAGGCUAGAAUUUCAUAAGAUAAGAAGAUAUCAGUCGGCCAAUAAGUAGCUUUGGCGGCGAAUAAAAUAAGGAGCUAAGUACUUUCUAAAUCUACUAAAAGAAAAGGAAGAUCAUAUUCUACCGCUUAUAUCUCCGAACUUGGCUCCGCUCCUUCUACGUCCGAGCAAUAUGAUAAAAGGAAGAAAACCUAUGGAAGAAGACUAUAAAGGAGAGGUUGAAGUCAACUUAUCCAGAAAGAAAAGUGAAGGUGCGCUUUUGGAGAUCGGACAACUAACCUAUCCGAAGAGACGGAUGAGGAAGUGAAGCUGAGAGACUGCCCACUACGCGGAUCGGAAGUGAGGCUGCUUUACUCUGAAGUUGAGGUUCAAAGAAUAUUGACGAGACCAGUCCGGAGGACCCAGAUAAGAUAAUAUAAAAGAUUCCACUCUCCCGCUUAAUUUGCAAAGAUGUCCUUAUCAUAUUAUUAAGCUACUGAGGCCCAAUGAAAUAUGCCUUGAAUUCAAGGUAAGCCCACUACACGGGAAGAACUGCGCCAUAAGACAGGUCCGAAGGCUAGGCGCAAAGUUCGGUUAAUUACGGAAAGUCCGGAGGACUACUUCGGUUAAUUACGGAUGGUCCUACUUCGGUUAAUUACGGAUGGUCCUACGGAUAAAUCACCUGGACCUUUCUUUGGCCCUGCGGACUCCGGACCCUGGACCUUUCUUUGGCCCUGCGGACUCCGGACUCCGGACUACGGAUAAAUCACCUGGACCUUUCUUUGGAUAGUCCUACGGAUAAAUCCUGCGGACUGCGGACCCUGGACCUUUCUUUGGCACUGCGGACUGCGGACGUAGGACAGGUGACGGAGGACGGCUCAAAGAAUCCCACGGAGCUGGAUCGAUAUCCCUUAAACUUAAAGAUGGAAGGAAAAGCCGGACGUCAGGCCGGACCGAUUAGUUAGUUAGCUGGAUCGAUAUCCCUUAAAGAUGGAAAAGCCGGACCUCUUAGUUUAGUGAGCCGGACUCACAAGGAAGGGACGAAAGGCAGGCGCAAAGAAUAUUGCGGAGUUGAGGCUCAUAAAAGUACGAAAAACGUAGGUUAAAAGGCAUAAAUCUUCUGUCUAUCCGUCUAGGCGUAAAAAACUCCGCUAUCCGUGUAGGCGUAAACCAAUCAAUCCGUCUAGGCGCUAGGCGUAAGCCACUCCCUUCUUCCUUCCGUCCCGUCUAGGCGUAAACCAAUCCAAUAAUCCGUCUAGGCUAAAGCAAUCCGUCUCCAAUCCGUACCUCAUUAUAGCUAUGACUUUGGGAGGGAGAGCCACCGCUCCGCUACGCUAGGCUGAAAAAGGGAAAAAGAAAGGGCGAAGGCACCGACCGAGCCGGGCCUGGCCAAAUCCGCAACGGCGAAGGCACCGCUCCGCUAGGCUGAAAGCAAGUGCUUUAAGGCUGUCCGCUACGCUUCCGCUCCGGGGGUCAAAGAAUUUGAGAUAAAGAGAGAAAGAGAAACUUAAGGCGCAUAAAGGAUCCAGAUUUCAGACUAUGCUGUGGGCUGGGGAGAGAGCAGCUCUGCGAAGCUGGGCCUUCAGUGUGAUUUUAGGGAGGGGAACCAUACUAGAAAGAGAAUAGAAAAGAAAGGCUGAAUUCAUAUUCGAAAGAGAGCGAGUGAGUGAUGGGCAACCUCAAGUCUAUAUCUUGCUCGUGAGCCGCCAAGUACCAGUCUCGCAAGAGUACUGGCGCAAAAGGAUCGGUCCUUCACUUGCUGAUCGUUCGCGAGUCGAACUCGCUCUCUUGCCACGGCCACGCUUUUCACUCACUCACUCGCUUGAGUCGGACGAAAUCACUCUUUUUCUUUGGAGGUCGUUCUUCACUCUCUUCUUACCCGAGCGCCAAGGUGCAUAUAUUUGAAUAUAGAAAGAAGGGAAGCGUAGCGAUUCGUACUACCGGCUUUCGGUAACCGGCAGGCAGUCGCCGAUAAGGCGCAAGCAAGCGUAGCGAAUCAAAGAGAUAAGCCUCUACCUACCUGCCAGCGCGAUAGGGCGGGCGAAGAAGGGGAUGGAUGUCUGCCAGUAUAAUUGAUGGGUCUUGAAAACCGAAGUCUUGAUAGGAAUACCGGGGGUUCGAAUCCCUCUCCAUCCGCGAAUAAGAUAAGUUCUCUCUUGCCUUAUAUCAGAACGAAUCGGAUCUUGGCUUCCUGUCCCGCUCGUAUCGAAGGUAUUCGCUACUAUAGAUUGAGAUGAAAAAAGCAUUUAGCACUCAAGGAAAGUUGUGAUUACCGUGGUUGAGGCAUUCCGUUAAGGGGGCGUGGGAAGGGAAAAGAUGCCAACCAAUUAAUCCAACACAAGUAGAAAAACCCAAAGCAGGAGCUACCUAUAUUGAUGUCUUCUUAUAGCCUUCGUUCCCCGUUAGCCCUAUGGGAAGAGUCAGCUACCACACCAGGGAACUCUCCCGCUCCGUGGGAACCCCUAGAGAGAUAAAUCCUUUUUCAGGCUUGCUUGUUACGACUGAACUCCAGUGAUAUACUUUUCGCAAUCAAUGGUGAAAGUGAUUCUUCGUCGCUUGCCAACCAGUCUCAACGCCCCUAAAUCUGAAACCUACGGCCUUACUAAGAACCUACUAAACCUCCUACGUUAUAUAUAUAUAUAAGAGACCUACGGCCUUACUAAGAAGGCAAGGUGAAAAGAAGAUUGAAAAGUGAAGGGGAGCGCAAAUCAAUCUACUAAUUAAGCUACUUCGGACCGGUCUUUAUGAUUUACAAGAUGAAGAAAAGAAGAGAAGACAACUCCAAAGGAGCUACGGCAAGGGGCGAAGCCAAGCGACCACCUACAAAUAAUAAGGUGUUGAUGAUUUACAAGAUUACCUAAAAGAAUUCAAGGCACCUAGACGGCAACUGAAUAUUGCAUUGAGCCUCCGUCCGAAGGACUGUCCAUAUAAUAACCGUCCUCCUACGGAAGCCAAGCGACCACCUACAAAUAAUAAGGAAGAAACCUCAAAGCCUUGUGUUAAGCAAAUGAGAGAGAUUCCGUAGGUACAUUCUCACAUUGCGGAAACCCGUCCUCCGGACUCCUUUAUCCACAGAACUGAUUUUGCCCAUAUUAUUUCGAUUAUUUAGACUGAAAAAAGUAGAAAAGUUGCGGCCCUUACUAAACUGGUCUUUUUCUUCCAACUCCCCUACCGCUACGUGGGAAGUCAGAAAGAUCAAGCCGUCAGUUCAAAACCACCCCAACUUAUUCGACGAAAAAACAGAAGAUUUGACUCGUCCGAAGGGUCCGAAGGACUGUCCAUAUAAUAACAUAAUAACCGGGAGCGCAAAUCUCACUCCUACGCCUUCUACGCGGUACGCGGAAUAAGACUCCUUCUACGCCUGCGUAUCACGCCCUACCUACUAAAGAAAGGGAAAGACUCCGCCUUAAGAGAUAGGCUUCUCUUAGGUCUACGUCCUCAAGGCUGGGUGGUCUAUAAGAUAUAAGAUCACUCUCACUCACUUGGGUGAUUCUAUAAGCUAGGACCAUAGACAGUGUUCAGAAAAGCAGCUGUUAAUUGAGCGGGGAGCUGGGACUACGUCUCUUCCGAGUGCCUAACCACCCGGCAGCUAAGCAGUCAAACUAGAAAGUCAACUAAGUGAAAGAAAAUCAAAGGAAGAAUUGAAUUUUGAUGCCUUCGAAAGGUCAGAUCUAGGCCUAGCUGCGCCUCGCCUUUGUUACGUGUCACUAGUGGUUAAGACCUGGUUCUCGCGGAGGGGAAAGAGAUAGUCCUGUAAUGAGGUGAACAAGAAUUGGACGUAGAAAGCUAAUUUCUUUGUCUUUAGGAGGGCCUCACUUCUCUCCAAGAAGAUUCCUCUGAAAAGCGAGCUUAAGUUCCAUAAAUCAGUCCGAAGGACGGGCAUUCCUCAGAUAAGAUUCCUCACUCAAAGCGAACCGGUCCGAAGGUCUUGACAAGAUUACCAUUUGAUUCUUUAGAUAAAGUAUGAAAAAUAGAAGCAUCGUAGAAGGCUCCGUAGGAGAUGUAGUGCCGUAGGUAAGACUACCGGAGGCAAGGUUUUGAUUCUAAUAAGUACUAUUACAAGAAUUAGGAUGCGAAGCCAAGCUACUAAGAAAUGAGGGGAUACUCCUACUACGGGAGCGCACACCGUAGGCAAGGAAUGUCCGUAGGACGGACCAGACGCAUGCGAAGCGCAUUUCAUAAGCCAAGCAAGGUUUUCGGGAGUAGUUGUCUUCUCUUCUCUCUUUUAAUAAGUACUAUUACUACAAGAAUUAGGAUGCGAAGAAGAAGAAAGGAAAGGUGAAGAUGAUUUACAAGAUUAUUCAAAACAAGAGAAGAAGAAGACACUCAUAUUGACUAAUUAAGCUACUUCGGACGGAGCGAAGCGACUCUUAUAUAAGAUUCAGAAGAAAGGAAGAAAGAAACUCCAAAUAAGAAGAACGAAUCUUGCAUUGAGCCUACUAGGCCCUUGUGUUAAGCAAAUGAUAGGGAUAGGGAGAAAAGUCUACCUUUCUCACUGAGCUAUUAAACUCAAAUUCUUUGAGCCUGCUCUUCGCAAAUUCUUUGCUCCUUUGUUGUUUUCUUAUACUACGAUAAUAGUGGUUUUUUGACUGGUCCGGAGUCCGGAAGAUUCUUAUCUGGAGUCCGGAGUCCGCAGUCCGGAGUCCGCAGGGCCAAAGAAAGGUCCAGGGUCCUACGUCCGCAGGAUUCUUAUCCGGAGUCCGGAGGAUUUAUCCGUAGGACCAUCCGUAAUUAACCGAAGUAGUCCGGAGUCCGCAGGAUUCUUAUCCGUAGGACUAUCCAUAUGGAAGUAGGACCAUCCGUAAUUAACCGAAGUAGGACCAUCCGUAAUUAACAGAAGUAGUCCUCCGGACUUUCCGUAAUUAACCGAACUUUGCGCCUCAAGAAAAGAAAAGAAGCUCAUUAACUCGAAUUCAAGAAUCAUUAUGAUGUUCAUUGUACUCCUUCAUUGAUUUCACUCUUUUUGACGGAGGGAAAUGCUAGGUUUUGGGCCUAUAAAGUAGCAAGAAAUCAUGAAAAAUCUGUCAUUUUUAGACAAUUUUCGUUAAAUAGAAAUCUUUGAUUUAGUCCUAUUUAGAAGCAAAAAAGCCGGGAAAUAGCAAUGAAAGAAGAACUCCUAUCCCAGAAAUUCACAUGGAUCAGUUCUAGUUUGAGUUUAUGGUCCGGAUACUGACGGGUCUAUUCUUUAUUUCACUCCAGGUUAUGAAAGAAUAAUUCUUCUUGAAUUCUCGUUAAUGAGCUUCUUUCUUUGCGCCUUUCUUUCUCCUAAUUUGUAAACUCUAUAUAUUCUUGGACCCUUUCUUCUUUUCCGCAAUAUUCUUUCCUCCUCAAAUUCCCUAAUGGAUAGUCCUUCGGACCUGUCUUAUGGGACCGCGUAGUGGGUGAAUUUCUCCUUUCGAAGAAAGGCACACAAAGGCAAUUCCAUACCUCUGCUGAGGAAGAAGAUCGGCGAAGGCAAAGAGCUUUCAGCCUUAAUGAAAGAGAAUCCCUCCCAGUUUCCUAGGUUUCUGCUCGCGGAUAAAGACGAGACCAAAGUCAAUCGGAACCAGCAGCGUAGCUCCCCUCACAAUCUACAGCCGGAGAGGAGGCAGAAAGGGAAAAGUCUCCGGAUCGGAAUAAGAGGCAGGGGUAGAGGAAGCCGUCGGUCGGGGCACAGUUCUUUCUUCGGGUUAGAACUCAAGGGAUGAGGUCCCAGUUUCUUCAGUAGCAGUGUCCGCUCUUUCAUGAGAAAAUGGUAAUUAUGACCUCUCGCGGGCCUCCUACAGAGUCUUCCUUUUGUUUGGGGUUCUAAUUCAAGGAUAAGUUCAUAUGGAUAAAUCAGUCAUCUGGACUCGUCAAAUCAUAUAUUUCAUUUCAAAAGAUAUCUCAAUUUCUUUCUAUCUUCUUUCUUGGGAAUAAGAUAGUGCAAUUUCUAGUUCAUUCAAGGUGCAAAGAAUAUUGCGUCUUUGCGCCUCAUGGAUCACUUUCCGAAAGAGCUAAUUCAAGAGAUCGAGCUUCCACUUCUAAUUCUCAAGAUCUUUCAUUCUGGUUUUCAUUGUCAGUUCAUUCUAUUCUCAGAAUCCGUUCUUCUCACCCAUCAUGUUCUCGGGAUCGGAGCGAAGAAAGCGAGAUAGGUUCUCAGUCCUCCUUUCAUAGUUAGCGAGACGGGUCAAAGCCCUCAAUAAGAAGAAAGGCGGAGGACCCCGUAGUUAAGAGUCCUAAAAGAAAGCUCCAGAUGAGUCUGAAAUCCAUAUGAACCUGAAAGGAUCAAAGAAUUUGAGAAGCGACUUCACAGGUGCGAAGGACUAUCCAUUAGAGAAUUUGACUUUGGAGGAGGAGUGCAAAAAAGAAAGAUUAUACAUUAAGCGUCGGACUUGUUUUUAUCCAUAUUUCGAAGGACUUUAUCAAGCUUAACUUCUUUCUGGGAGUCUUAUUACGAGCUGAACGGUCUCAGAAGAGAAGUUUGAAGCCGUCAAUUUCUGUGAACCCCAAACUCUUCCCUUUCCAACCGCCAUAAGAAUGGGAGCCUCUCCGAUCCUUGCUUAAGAGAAAGAUUUUUCUCUUCAACUCCUAACCUUCUAUUAAUGAAAUAAAGAAGAAGUCGAGCUACCAGCUAUCUUAGAGAAUUCCCUUGCUGGAUAGACUCCUAUUUCAGUGACUCAUGAAAGAGCUGCUUUGCUCCUCUCCGAGUCCUGGGCUGGCUCCAUCUAACCUCUCCAACCGCGUAGUGGGCCCUUAUUCAUUGAUUCUUCCUUUCUUCCUAUUCGAUCCUAAUUCAGUUAGGACUGCUCCUACCCGACUCAAGACUAAACCUACUUAAAGGGCUUAAAGGAAGACCAUAAAGACAUAAGUUUGAGUGGAAUCUUUUCGGAAUUCUUUCAUGAGACAAAAAAAAGCCUCGCCAACUAAAUAUAAAUAGGAGGUUCUAGAAGAUAGGCUUGAAUCUAAAUAGUAGGUUUAGCUAACCUUCCCUUUUAGAGUUAGAGUGACUCAUUCCAGUAAAGCCUGCUGAAUGAGACUCAAAGCCAAUCCCAGGGAAGAGUGAAGCUGAAUAGGGUCGUCCAGGUGCAGGUAGUCCCCAUCUUCACAGACAUGUCUAUUUCACCGAGCCUACAGUGCCCAGAUCCUUACGCCUUUCCUCGGAACUUACCUGACAAGGACCCUACUUUAGGACCGUGUGUAAACUCGUUCAAUCUCUCUCUCAUUCCUCUCUUGGUCUAGCCGAAGCCUUGGGUUUCAUGGGUUCACUGGGCUGAGCAUUGGUAGAAUACGAAGUAUCAUGCUACACUUAAGUCCACCCCAUAUCAGAUCCUUUUUGGGCGCGCUCCUCCAGCCAUUAAUUACAUUUAGAGGCAAAGACGUCCAAUGCGGCCUCACACCCUAAAGGCGAACGUGAUCGAGUUCAGUCACAGCCAGCAAGGCUCCAUAAGACAGGGAUAUUGUAAGGAACAAGGCUCAAGAACGGAUGAAGCAGUAUAGUAUGCUGAUCGCCAUCGCCGAGAAGUGGAAUAUGAAGUUUGGGAAUCGGUCUAUUUGAAACUGCGUCCCUAUCGGAAACGCACAGUUGCGCGACGGCAUAGUGCUAAAUUCUCUCCCAAGUUUUUCGGGCCUUACCAGAUUGUAGAAAGAAUCGGGCAAGUGUCCUACCGCCUUGCUUUGCCCGCUUCCUCAUCCAUCCACCCAGUUUCUCAUCUUUCCCAGCUGAAAGAAGCCCUCAGUAGCACUACAACCCUCACACUUCAGCCACCUAGCCUUCCUUCUUCGUUUGAGUGGGAGGCCUUCAGAUGUGACUGCUUAUCGCUACAACGACCAGACACGGGAAUGGGAACUGAAAAAUCCAGUGGAAGGGCCUGCCAGAGUUUGAAGCCACUUGGGAGAGCUUGGAGUUGAUUAAGGAGCUCUUUCCUUCUUUCUCCCAAGAGGACAAGGAAGCUUUCAUCCCCCGGUCUUAGACCACCUAUUGUCCACACUUAUGUUAGGAGGGGUAGUUUGGGUAAUUUGCCUAACUUCCCGCAUUUUGCUAAUAACGGCUUGCCUAGAUCGAGUAUUUCCCACCCACGUAGUCCGUCGGUCAAACCAUCUCCAAAGUAAUAGAGAGAUUCUUUUGCUUUUUCUGGUAUGUAGCUCCGCGAGCUAGGAGCGCAUCAUCGGGGCAGGGCGAAAACGAAGAUAGGAUCAUCAUCAUGGCCCCUUUCUUCUUUUCUUUGUGUCCGGAAAGAGGUCUCUCUCUUUUUUUUAAGGCUUAUCCGGGCUGCUCUGGGGAAUCCAAUUCCUCUUCUUUUCCUGCUGAUCUCAAUCUUCAAGCUGCUACUUCUUGUUCAGGGUCAUGAGAGAUCGAAUGAGGAUUCCGAUCAAUGAACAAAGAAUGAGAAAUUCCCUCUUAGAUAUUAUGAUAUCUACUCAAAAAGAAGAAAAUAUUCCCCUUCAGAAAAUUGAGAAAUUACAUAUAUUUUGGUUUGGAAGAAGAAGAAAGCCGGAGGCGGAGAAGGCUAGGCUUUCUACUAAGAAUCAAGAAAGCGCAACUUCUAUUUUGAUGCCGUAAAAAAAGUUCAGACGAGACUCAAAUUCUUUGAGCCUUAUCGGACCUCACAAUAUCCCUGUCUUAUGGAACGUUAGGAGCUUUGAAUAUUGCGACAUGAAUACUAUGACUUUGAAGACAAAGAGGGCCAAGAAAUCUAUGAACAAGCUCAAAUUCAGUCAAGAUGGCUUCUUUCUUUAUGUUGGUCGCUUCGCUAUCAGCCGUCAGUCCGACCCGUAUUUUUGGCUGAAAAAGGAGUCAAAUCACCGAAUCAGUCUGUCUCGGGAUUCAUAAGACUUAGUCGGUCGGGCAGUCUCAGCAAGGUAACUUCCAGUAGUAGCCGUGUAAGAGACAGAGUAAGCAGUCUUGAGUAAUCGUAAGAAGUGGACUAAGCUAGAUUGGACGCGCUAUCACUCAGAAUUAGUACGGUCUUGAGAUCGAGGAUGAAGACAGAGAAAGAGUUAGAAACAUCAGUCUCGAUAGGAAAGGUUAGAAUAGGCAGCGCCUACUCACUUCAACAUAGAAUUCCCUUGAUUCGGAAACAAGAAGAAGGAUCCAGUAGCUCUCGCAGCCUCUUUGCUCCGUCGGUCUUAAUACUCCCUUUUUCUUCUUUGAAUGUGAAUGAAUGAAGAUGGUCCUCGGCGCGAAGCGUGAACCUACUCAAAUCAAAGGUAAUAUAAGGAUAGGAGGCAAGGCUAGAAGCGAAGCGCAAUCAAUGAACAAGGUCUUAUUUAUGGGACUCGAGGGCGGGGAAAGGAUCCCAAAAGACCAGUCAAAUCGAGAAUAAAAGGGAUGGGAAUGUGAAUCGUGAAGCGCGUCCUCCCUUUAUACGGAUCUUCUCCUUCGAGAUGGCCCAUCUUCCCUGUCAACUUGCUUGUGACGCAUUCCUUCCUAAAUAAAGAAGGGAGACAGCGGACUUCAACGGAUACUUAUUCCAAGGACCCUAUCCUCUUCUUAUCGGUAGGGAAUUGCUAUACGAUCUCGAAAUAACCUUCUCCUGGGGGCCAUUGAGUCUCUUUAUUAAGCUCCCUUCUUUAUUUAGAGCUAUCCCUUUGAGCCUCCUCAACGUUCUAAUGGAUAGGACUGAGGCGCAUCAAAGGGUUUCAGAUGACCUUGAUUUUCGAUUUUUCACUCCCUUUCUUUCUUCUUCUUGUCUUUAUGAAAGGUCUUAGGAUAGUCGGACUCAUAUAACAAUGGAAGGAAAGAGUUCUGGGAGUCUGAAUGGCCUAAGGCCGAUUUCUCCAUUUAUUUACACGGAAGUAGAUUAUUUUCUCACGACGUCUAGUGUGAAGCAUUGAAUAGACUACUUCCGCUGCCUGCAUUACGGCUGAGAACACCUUUCCUAUCUCUUUCUGCUCUUCUUUUGACCUCGAACUUAGCUUCGAUCUAAGAUGCUGAAGACUUUGUGCUUUUUCUUUAUCUCGCUCCUUUCCCGAUGAUCCGGUGCACCGCACCCUAUUCAAUAUUCUUUGCACCUCCUUCUCAAAUUCUUUGAGCCUGUCCUUCGCGCCUAUUUUUUUCCAUUAAUCAGUUGCACUCCAAUUCCCUAAUGGAUAGUCAUCUGGACCUUUCUUUUUAGUUCUUUGCGCCUGUGAAAAGUCAAGAAAAGAAAAGAAGAAUGAACUCAUUAACGAGAAUGAAAGAAUCAUUAUGAUUUCAUAACUAGAAUGAAAGAAGAAUUAUGAAUCUGCUAGAUUUCAGAGCUAGAUUUCAGAUGAAUCCGCGGAGGGAAAUGCUAGGUUUUGGGCCUAUAAAGUAGCAAGAAAUCAUGAAAAAUCUGUCAAAAUUAGACAAUUAUCGUUAGAUAUAUAUAUGAGAAAAAGUCCUAUUUAGAAGCAAAAAAGCCGGGAAAUAGCAAUGAAAGAAUCAAACUAUGUUCAUUUCUUUUAUAGGCUUGAUUCUAGUUUGAGUUUCUGGUCCGGAUACUGACGGGUCUAUUCUUGAUUUCCCUCCACGAAGGACUAUCCAUAUUAAUCAGCAUAAUCUAUUCUUUGCGCCUUUCUUUGGGGUCUUUGUACUUUGUGCUCGAAAAUCAAGCGGAAAUCUUCUUUUCACCUUUUCCAGCUCUUUGCGCCUUUCUUUUUGGAUUUUAGAUAUUAUGAUCUUCUUAUAUCCUCUUAUGACUUUCAAACCUACUGACUGAACUUUCUCUCAAUAUUCUUUGAACCUUUGCCUUUUUCUUCCGAUAAUAUCAAAUUCCAGGUAUUUUGAGCAAAGAGGAAGGUUUUCAAGUACUAUCAAGAUUCAAGGAGUAUUUGCCAGUCUGGCCUUUUCUUUGGAAUGGAGGAUUACUACUCUAUACUAGAACGGAGGAUCUCUUUUCAUUCUUUCUUCCUAACCAAGGACAGGAAAUGCCAGAGAUCAGAGCCCGGACCACACCAGUACGAAGGAUCCUUAGACACUAAGCGCUUUGAGCGAUGAAUGGGAAUUGGGAUCGGUUUUGAAAUGGGUUUUUUAUGAUAUAUGGAUCCUGGAUUUUCCCAGCGGUUGCUCUCUCCGAUCCAUAGUUGGUUUUCGGAGAUACUCAAGAGGAUAGCAUGGUACCUUCAACCAAACUGCACCCUUGCCUUGGUUGGUCGGAAGCCAGGAAUCCUUCUCGUAGGACUUGACCACUGCCACUGAUAGGUGGCCCCUUCUAGUCUGAUUUUCAGUCUUCCAGUGCCUCUUCGACCGGUCCUUCGCUUCCAGUAUGGUUAACUCCGCACUCGCGACAAAUGUAUUCCUGGUACCCGCAUGUGAAAGGCAAAUGGUCCCACCCAGGUCUGCUUUGUUGCAGGACAGCCAUUAGGUUCGUUCUUAUUCUUCUUGGCCACUGUUCACGUUCACUGACCAUUGAAUGGUGUGGUGGAGUGCAGGUAUCCGCUUUCAAAAGUAUGCAGUGCUCGGUGAUGACGUUCUCAUUGCCGAUGCAAAAGUGGGAUCAGUCUAUAAAUCCGUUCUUCAACGACUUGGGGGCUAGCAAAAUCCCUUAUCUCUCAUAGCGGAUGCAUAGAGUUGAGUUUGCCAAGAAGUUCAUGUUUAAUGGAGUGAGUGAGGAUCUAAGUCCAAUCUCAAUCCCUUGCCUAAUACUAUCACCCGUUCCAAAGCGGUCUUAUGGCCAUUCUCCACAAAUCAAAGGAAAGGAUGACUUUAGUACCCUUUGCCGGAUAGGUGGUCUUGGUUAUCGGGCUCUUGGUCGGAUUGAUUACAAGCGGUCCCUCAGGAGAGGCGACUUGCAAUGUGGUUCCGGACCCUUCUACCCUUCACAAUAUGGUGCCCACGUAGCGGUAGGGGCAGACCUCUCAAUCCAUACCGCGGAGUGGGGUCCUAUCUGAUUCAGUUCCUAUUACAGGAAUUUCAACCGAAGGCUCAAAGCAAAGAAUGUUCGUUUUCCUAAUUCAUAUUUUUCACAACCAGGUCGCAAAGACGGAGCAUAAAAGAGAAGAAGAAGAAGAAUUGCAUUUUUUUUGAUGGUGGUUCAAAUUGCUUCGUUGGUAUUGCUGCAAUGGACCUAUGGGUUUCUAUCGAGGAUCUCCUCGAGGGGGCACCUGUCGUAAUCACUCACUGGAACUGUAACCGAAAAGAUGAAAAGAAUAAAUGGUUUGGUCUCAUGUGGAAGUGCUACGACAUGCUUCAAUCCUUAGGUCUAGAUUCUAGACCGGGGGUCUCUUGCCUCUCUGGGAGGAUCCAAAAUAGGAGGUCUAAUACAUAUUCUCUUUAGCUCACUAUUGGGGUGAUAUAAGAAAAGUGGUGAGGGGGCUUCGGCCUUUAGAAGACCCUGAGAUAUAAGAGAUCACCAGUAAAGACAGAUCCUUAGCAUGCCUGUGUGAUGCCAAACCUAUCUAUCAUAUUCCAGGAUCUUGAUUAUCCUCUUCUGAUUCACAUUCUUUAGAGGAAUGCCUUAUACCCACUUAGUGAAGUAGUAAAUAGCCUCUUCAAUCUCUCUCCUUCUGAAAAAUCUUGCCUCAAGAGUCCACCUUAUAUUAUAAAUGGCCGCGGUUAACUAUGGGAUGCCCUUAAGUGGCUGGGAUCCUUUGAAUGAAUCCAAGUUUUAGCAUAAAAGGUUAAAAGAAAAGACUUAGCUAUGCCUGGCCAAUGGUAGCCAUGCCUUCUGAUCAAGGACCUCAUCUUGACUCCGGACUGCCGAGCUCCAUUUAGAUAGCCGAAGACGAUAUCCACAAAAGAGCAUUUCGAUGCCCGGGGGCAUUGCAUUCUACAGCUAUGAGUGGAUAGUAAUUCGGGCUUAAGAAGGCGAGCUUACGGCCAUGAACGCUAUCUUCCAUGACUGAAUUCUUCUCAAUGAAAUGGAUCAAUGAAAUGGAGGUGGUAUCCAUAUUGUGUAGUCAUCAAAUCCAAGUGGAAAGAAGAGAAAUUUGCUGAUCUGCGAAGAGGAGAGGAUGAGGAGCUUUUUAGCAGUUCAAUCCCAUCCCCUCUUUUGGCUGGUAAUUGACUUUUCUUCCUGGUUCACCAAAUAGAGGUAGAUAAGAAGAAAGCCAAGGCAAUGAGAAUUCUCCAGGCUAAACGACCAGAGGCACCCAGAAGGAAUUCUAUGCUUGGCCAGAUUGAUAAGGAGAUGAAUUGAAAACUGUGCAGGCCGCACCCAACUACCUAGCGUACCGGGACUUCCAUGCUAAGACUAAGAAAAGUACAUGAAAUUCUGCCAUAGAAAAGUUCUGGGCCAGUCAUAAGCCCUUUCUGUGAAAAUGGGAUUCCACCUAGUGUGAGAGUAGGAGAAAGCUUCCAGGCAUCUACAGGGCUUUUCUGCUGGAGUUAGAUUUCAGUAGAUUCUUCAAGGCUUUCUCUUCAAAGUCAGAGCUAUCCCUUAAUGUGGGUAGAAAACUCCUACAAUAUCCCUGUCUUAUGGAGCCUUUCUUUCUCCUACGCGGAAGCGUAGCGUAGCGGAAAGAGCCGUAAACUACUUUAUUUAUCCUUUCUUUCGGAGGAGCGGAAGCGUAGCGUAGCGGUGAAAGCUCAAAUUGCAUUGAGCCUGUUCAAAGUCAAUCAAAGAAAAUCAGUUCAUUAACGAUAAUGAAAGAAGCUCAAAAAGAAUCUGCUAGAUUUCAGAUGAAUCCGCGGAGGGAAAUGCUAGGUUUUGCCCAUAGGGAAGUAGCAAGAAAUCAAGUCAAAUGCCUUCUUUUUCGACAAUUAUCGUUAUUUAAGAAAAGUCGAAAAAGUCCUAUUUAGAAGCAAAAAAGCCGGGAAAUAGCAAUUCAAGAAUCAAGCCUAGGACAGGUAAAAUCAAUGAAGACUUCUAGUUUGAGUUUAUGGUCCGGAGAAAGAGAGGUCUAUUCUUUAUUUCACUCCAGGUUAUUCAAUCAUAAUGAUUCUUUCAUUCGAGUGAAUGAGCUUCUUUUCUUUUCUUGACUUUUCACAGGUCCUCCGGACUAUCCAUAUUAACCCGUCUGUCCUCCGGACCUCCUUCAGCAUAAUCUAUGAAUUUGAGGAGCAUGAAAUCAAUGAACAAGGUGCAAUGAAAUAUGCGUUGAAUAUUGACUCCUAUUAGAAGGACCAAGCUUUUUUUCCUUAUUUAGCUCUCGUUCAAAGAAGAUUUUCCAGAAGGCGCAAAGAAUAUUGCGAUGCCUUUCGGAGCUAAGCUUGGGACCGCUCCGUGGGGACACUUCAAUCCUCACCUCGAGAAAGAGGGCUACGUACGGGGCAGUUCUCCCAGAGGCAGUGCCAGUCUUAGUUCUUCUUCUUUUAGUUCUUCCCGAAGAGAAUGUGAGAUCAUCCGGUCUUGUAGAUGAGGCGGUAGAAUAAGUAGUAGUUGAAACAAGCUUACAUGGUUCAUUCACUCAUUAAGUGAGUUAUUAAUUCACAUUCUCCAAACUCAGUCUUAACCAGUACUAAGUUUCUCGCCAACAGGAAGACGAGACGGACAAGGUGGCUCUUAGUUACGAAGCCAGAUCCAUUGAGGCGGUUUGAUCGAAGAAAGCGCAAGCUUGGACACAUAGUGCAUAGCCUUGAGACGAAUCCGUUUCCGAUGAGUUUACUCGUCUGAGGAAGAACAAAGAAAGCAAAGCAAUUACCUAUGGACCCGGCUAAAGAGGCAGGUUAAUAAGGGUCAAGCUGCUGGACCACUUUCCCCAAGUUGGAAUCUCGGAUUCGUUCGUAAAAGAAAGAGAAAUAAUUGCACAAUAAAGAAAGAAGACAAGACACAUACUGACGAAAGAAGAGAAUGGCGAUCAGAAGAUUUCGAAGUUGCGCUUUCUUGAUUCUUAGUAGGUUUCAAAACAUAAGAGAGAAAGUUGGAUCAAUUCCAUAAAUCAGUCGGGAUUUAAGGGCUUUGGAUUUGAACAAGAAACUACGUCCCCGCUUUAGGAAGGGCCUGCCGCCUUAGCUUCAAGAUCUCAGUUUGCACCAACCAGGAUUUCAGUUCUCACCAGGAGCCGAUUGCUCUUAAGGAGAAAGCGAUGGAAGAAGAUAGUCGUUCUCUCUCCCGCCCACGUAGCGGUUUCGGUUAAGUAAUCUUUUCUAUUGAAAGGCGCAAAGAAUUUGCGAGCGACAGAUGAGGCUGAAUUCAUAUUCGCAGGCUUCGACCAAAGAAAGUAUGGUUGGGGUUCGGAUGAGGAUUUGGGAAGAUUUUCUUCAUUCGGGUUCCCAAAAAUUGCAUAAAUCAGAGUGAAAAACCGAUAUAGAAGGCAAAAGCCUGCAAAACUCUAAGAGGAUAGGGAGGCGCAAAGAAUAUUGCGGAACAACUCGAACUAAAAGAAUCGACAGCUUCAAGAAGAAGAUCGGCUCGUGAAAGAGCUCCUCCUGCCCCUCCCUAUCUUUUAUGGCGGUUCGGCACAUGAAUCUGCCUCUACAACUAUCUUUGUGAUCGGGGAGAACUUCCCCUGUCUUCUCGACCAGUCACUUCGUCUUUUAGUCCUUAAAAAGGGCCUUUCCCUAUGACUGCCGCGAAUGCCUGAUUUACCUCGUUCUUUGAAUGGAAUGGAUGGACGGUUGAAGGAAGACCAUACCUUGGUCAAAUAAGAGUCCUUUCGAGUCACAAACAUCUUAAUUACAAUCCCAGUCAAUUCAGAAAUUCAGCCUUUAGUAGCCGCACAUAAGCAAGAAAUUCAGCAACAAGAACGGAAACACCAUCUGCAAUUCUAAUUCUUUCGUGGGUCACUCCGCACUGAACCAGGUGCCUGUUCAAUAUUCUUUGAACCUUGUUUUUCCUGAAUUUCAAAAGGUCCAGAUGAUCUUUAUCAAGCUUAACUUGGCGGAAUCUCUUCUUUCUACAUAAAUAAUAGAAUGACCUGGACGUGAAAGAAGCUAAUUGAUUAGGGUAGAGUCUCAUCCCCCCAUAAUCAAGUAGCGUCCACUAAAAAGGAGCUCCGCGGGGAUCGUUAGGAGAUACCCGAUCAUGAGAUCUGAGUUGGCCUAAGGCCGAUUGAUCUAUUUUCUAUCCAUCCACUAGGCAAUUCGUUUGUGACAAAGGGAAUCAAUAUGCCUUUAUUUAAUUAACCUCAAAAAUACUGAAGAAGAACCUAAAAAACGGCUAAUAGGGGAAAGCCUAUCCAAAGUCAAAGAAGAGAGGCAUUUCACCUAAUAAAUACUGAAGAAAAGGCUAGAAGCGAAGCGCAUUUAUAUAAGUUCAGACAAGAGGAAGGCUUCGUUGACGACGGAGCGGCACGGAAUAAGACGAUAAAGGAGAAGUGCAAGGGCUCAAAAGUCAGAUAUGGAAUUCUAAGACGGAGGAGGAGGGGGGGCGAAGCGAAGCUAAAGGAGAGGAAGACUCCUUCGGAGCGGCAACUCAUAUUGAAUUGAGCGUCCUACGUAGCUUAAUAUGGGAGCGCAAGUCCUUCGGAGCAGUUUCAUUCUCUCUUUCAUGAGAUCUUGAGUAUUAUCUUAUUUGUUGUUUCGGCAGGGGAAUCAUCAUUCUCACUCCGUUUCCGAAGAGAGUUCAAGACCAGAUUUACCGCUACGUGGGUUGAAUAAGCUAUACCUCUAGGGAAAAGGCCGAAAAUUCGGAAAUAGAAAGGAGCCCCGUUGCUGGCUCAGCAGCAUAACUGAAAUCGUCCGCCAAUCACUCAGAUACAAGAGUUCUUUAGGCUCUCGCCCAGUCUCAUGAAGAAGCUAACCCCCCUAGUAGUGUGAAUAGGCCGAGUAGAAAGAAUGGGAUCUCCACCGUAGGGAGUUUCAGCAGAGUCGGGUAUCAAGAGACCAAAUAGGAAGCGUCUAUCCUCAUCCCUUGUGGAAGAGUUCCGGAGUCAAGUCAAGAGUAGCCGCUAUAAGGGGUUUCUUCAAGUGAACAAGAAAAAGAACUGAUCUCAUUCAUAAACGGGGUUCUUUUACGCUACUUUGAUGUGAACUCCUUGAAUUCUAAGAAAAGACUGGGAAUCAUCAUUCUCACUCAGUCCAGGAACAGGAGUCGACUCUCUUUCCUCACAGUCUAAAUAGGCGAGGUGCCAUAAGACAGGGAUAUUCUUGCCUUCUAAUGGGCAAUAUUCUUUGCGCCUCCUUCGGUUAAUUACGGAUGGUCCUACUUCUGUUAAUUACGGAUGGUCCUACGGAUAAAUCCUCCGGACUACUUCCUUCCAUAUGGAUGGUCCUACGGAUAAAUCACCUGGACCUUUCUUUGGCCCUGCGGACUCCGGACCCUGGACCUUUCUUUGGCCCAUAUGGAUGGUCCUACGGAUAAAUCACCUGGACCUUUCUUUGGCCCUGCGGACUCCGGACUGGUCCGAAGGCUAGGUUCAUACGGAUAGUCCGGAGGACGGUUAGUUGGGCCUUUGUUUUUGGAGUAGAAGGAGAGGCGCUAUUUGAAUGGAGUUAGGGAUCGCAGCUGACUGAGUAAAGGCUUGAAUCAGAAAGCCCACGGAGCGGGCAUCAGAUCGAGGUUAUGCAAGACUCAUUCAUUGAUUGUAUGAGUACUGCUGCGUACAAGACAAGAAUGGGGAUCACCACCUCGUAUAGAUCACUCGUGCUAUACUCGAUCGGUGUGGCGGAAAUCAAGAAAGCACUACGCGGGGGAGGGCGCCCCAUUACGGUGGUCUAGCGGCCGUUAGAUGUCCUUUAUAGCCACCGAAUUGGAUGGAAAAGGAGAUGUGAAGACAGGAAAGAAAGGUCAGCCACCUUUCCGAGCGGUUUCACCCUAGAUUAUUUCACUAUUUCUUAAAGAACAAGUAGUCUCUUUUAUUCAAUGAUUGAACUGGUGGGGAAUCUGUUGCAUAAUAAUCAGCUUAAAUUACUUCGUCCUCAGUGCUUUCGCUUUCUGGUAUUGGUUCAGCCUUUCUUAUGGAGGCAAGUGGGUCUAAGCAAGCCCUCAUAGUAGUCUUGCCUCUUCGCUGCUACAAAGGCUAACUACUGGAAAAUGGACCUCUACCUAUUUAGUCAGAUGCGGGGAUAGCUCAGUGUGGUUUUUUUUCCGUGGGGGGCUCAAUCAAGAUGAAAAGAUUAUUGGGUGGAAUCUCGUUCGCUGCCUCAAAGGGUCGAGCUAACCUCUUCUGACUCUGAACCUAUCGGCUCACCUCCGGGCUAUUCGUCGACUACUACCUUUUUGACAUCUUCUUCGUCGCACAGUAUUUUUCAUACAUUGAAGGAGAAAAUCAAUGCCCUAUUCAAAAGACUAAUGUGAAAGAACCUUGACUUCGCUUCGCCUAUCGGUGAAAUAGAAAUAGGGUUUGCUUGACUAUCGCAACCAGAGAGAGAGAGGCCUAAUGCUCAUCAGGUCUUCAACCUUGACAAGAAAGAGCUUAUAGAUAGGUCUUCAAUAGUCGCGAACAGGAACCUAAUAAGUCCUUGUAUAUAUAGGGUGGGCCUGGGACAUAAUGGAAGUCUAGCGGGUCUUUAGAGGUGAGCCGGUAGGCGAACAAGCAAAGAAGGCGAAGAGGACAAAGGAAAGUAGUUCGUUCCGCUAUACCAAGGGGCUGGCUUUAGACUUGACUUCUCCGCUUGACUCCUAAAGAAAGGGUGCUUUCAGAAGAGAUCCAUAUCUCUAACUCUGAGAAGGGACAGCUAGAAGGUUACAAGGAAAAAGCCUUGCUACGAGCUGGAUGCCUUAGUCAAAACCUUACCUGAAUCUCAAAUUCACGCCAGCUAAAGAUAUUCUUUCUUCCCGCUACGUGGGCUUGCAGUCCUCAGAAAAAUCCAUAUUAGCCUUCUCCAAAGUCAAAUUCUCUAAUGGAUAGUCAUCUGCACCCGCAUCUUUUCUUUGAUUUACUCGGCCCUGGCACUGAAACAAGAGCGGAAGCCAUUUUGAUCUCCCGUGGCAGUAUGAACUGCUGUCCCUUCUCUUCUAUCCGUAGCCCUGAAUCUAAUAUGUGAUAGGUUAUCAAUCAAAGUGAUGUUAACCAUCUUUGUAGCAGCCACCCUGAAGUGAUUAGGGGAGCCACUCAAUAAAACUGCUAGGGAUCUCUUUCCGCUAAAUACUUUUAGACAAGAAGCUAGAAUGGAAAGUCUCAUUCUUGGUUGGAACUCUUAUUCGAUCUAUUGCACUUACAGAGUCCGUUUCGCAGUAUGGGGUUUAUAUACAAGAAAGUAAGUAUGGCAUUUUGACAAGGUUAGAAUAUGCUUUUCCAUCUCACGUAUAGAUCAUAUACUUUUGCUAGGACUUGCUUUGGUCAGAACAGUACUAUCGAGUUGAUCUUAUCAAAUGUUCUCUUUCUUAUUUGAAAUCAAGAAUGUUGACGCUUGUCUUUAAGCAGAAUGAUUUCAUCUAUGAUCUAGAUGGAAAAGGUAUGAAAAAGGAACUUCUAUCUGGAAAUUACCACUUUUCCCCUUAAUACAGACAAUUGUGCGUGCAAACAAGAAAGCCUAGGCUAGAAGC
rnacentral:lncRNA from 1 species